GGCUUGUUGCAUACGCUCAAUGCAAUCGAGUUCCCUGCGAAAGUGGCAUUAGUUUUCAUCACUGGUUUUUCAUGUUUUUUUUUUUUCUAAGUAUUCUAGUUUCUUUGUAUUAUGCGUGUAUUAAACCAAUAAACACAGAUUGUAUGAGCUGGGUGGUUAUGUCUUAUGUGUAGUAGUGUUCAAUAAAAGUUGUGUUUCUUCAUGGUUCUUACUUUUUACUGACGUACGUAUGACUUUGAUUCCUUAUUUUAGUAACUUUGAGUACUAAAUAAACUAAUUAAAAAAUCGAGAAGGAUGCUAAUACAUUAAAUAAGUGAGAAGAGAAGAUUGAUAUCCUGCAUCAACUUAGGCCCUGUUUGGCACACCGUAUAAGGGACCGGAUAGUACUAAUAAUACGGUGUACGGUGUUUGGUGACAGUUUGGAUUAAAUAAGCACCGGAUUAAAUAAUCCGGGCCCACCUUUUUUACACAGUGUGUACCCGCUUGCUUAUACCAUCCAUUUUCACGGUAUAAUUAGUCGAGCUCUCUUCUCUCCCGACGCAGUCUUCCGCUUCCUCUCCAGACAAAUUCUUCCGCUCCAGGCACUCUCUCUUCCUCUCCAGACGCCAUCUUGCUCUCAUCCUAGGUAUGUCUUCUCACAGUCUUCUUCUUCGUUUGAAUCACAAUUCGUCUUUUCAAUUUUCUUCUUCUGGGAUUUCGCCCCUCCCUCUAUUCUUCCCCCUCCUCCUAUUUUUCUUGCAAUUGAUUGAAUCUAGUUAUUAUUUUCUCUCUAAUUAUGCAAUUGAUUAUGUAAAUUUGUGUUUUAAUUAGAAUUUUUGAAUUUUAGGGUUUGCUAUUGGGGUCGAAUUUUAGGGUUUUCAAUUUUCUUCUUCUGGGUUUGUUGUUGGUGUUUAACUUUAAUUAGAAUUAAUGAUUGGGUAGAGUGGGAGUGUGCAGGUUCACUUACCUAAACAAAACUUUGUCUCUGGCGCAGCUCCCGUUUCACUCACUAUCUCACAGCUGCAACACAACCAUACGGACAAUUGGGUAAGCCAAUUGUUCUCUGUCUCUCAUUCCCCAUCACCGUCUAUGGCCCGAAAAUUAGAUCCCAAUUGCUGUUCUUCUCAGUUUUUGCAUCACUCCGUCUCAGCUUUUAUCCAUUUUUUAAUUUUUAUGUGAAUUUUACUUUUUAUCUGGAUAUACAUAUGUGUGAAUAAUUUCGGACUAGGGUUGUUGAAUUGUUGAUUGGCAUUGAAUUGUUGAAUUUCGGACUAGGGUUGUUGAAUUGUUGAUUGGAAUUUUUAUCUGGAUAUAUAUAUGUGUGAAUAUAUACGUGACAACCACAGAUGCCAAAUUAGAAUGGGAAAAAAAAUAAUAUCAAAUUAACAAAACACAAGGCGGGAAACUUAACUCAAAACUAGUACCAAAUUGCUUGUAUCUUUAUACGAAUCAAUAAAGCAUUAUAUUAGAGUCUAAAAGCUAAGAGAUCACCUCACAAAUAAAUUUGUCACUCAAGGCUUCUAGCUUGUGAGGAACAAGGUGAUCCUCAAAAUCCCCAUGUCCUAGUUGACCGUAUUUGCUCCAACCAUAUUUUUUGGUAGGACUUAUUAACAUGUUUCCUUCCGUUUUUAGUGUUAUUAUGCAUUCAUGCUCCAGUUACUUAAUUUUUUGCCACUAUCUAAUAAUGUUAUUUUUAUAUUUCACUAGACAUGGAUGAAAGAAAGAUUGUGGCAUGCUUCAUUGUUAAGUUGUGGUACUUGAAUAUUGUGACUUGGUUGAUGAUGUGGUUUAUGAUGAAUCAUAAUUCAGCUAGAAGGCGGAAUCGGCAACUUGCACUUAGAAAUCGCACAUUUGUUAGGAGAAUGGUAGGGUCAGCCUGUUUAGAUGGCAUAAUAGGAUAUGAUGAUGUUCAGUGUGUGAACCAAAUUAGAAUGGAUAGAAGAACAUUCCAUUAUUUAUGUCAGAUGCUUCGUGACGACGGUAGAGUAAAAUUGGAUGGUGUAGUGACAAUGGAAGAACAAGUUUGCAUGUUUUUGCAUAUACUUGCACAUCAUGUCAAGAAUCGUACAAUUGGGAGUAGGUUUUGUCGAUCGGGGGAGACCAUAAGUAGAUAUUUCAAUUCUAUUCUACAUGGAGUGUUAAGGCUACAAGGUAGACUUUUGAAAGUGCCAGAACCCAUUCCUAAUGCCUACCCAGAUCCUAAAUGGAGUUGGUUUGAGGUAUUCUUCAUAUUUUAUUAAAAUUACUUCUAAAAUUAAUGUAAUUAAAUAUAUUGUGCUUACUAAUGUUAAUGAUUUUUUUUAGAAUUGCUUGGGGGCAUUGGAUGGGACUUACAUUAACGUUCAUGUCCCUGAGCGAGAUAAACCAAGAUACCGAUCGAGGAAGGGAGAGAUUGCAACCAAUAUGUUGGGAGUUUGUAAUCUAGACAUGAAUUUUAUAUUUGUGUACUCAGGUUGGGAAGGGUCGGCCUCUGAUUCUAGAGUACUCUGAGAUGCGAUAAGUAGACCAUCGGGAUUAAAAGUUCCCACGGGUAACAAUAGAUUUUUUGUUUAUAUUAGUAAUUUGAAUCCUCAUUUUUCUUAUAUAUAGUAAUAUACAUUUUUUGAUGUGUUAGGGUGUUACUACCUUGUGGAUGGUGGGUAUACAAAUGGUUCAGGAUACCUUGCAUCGUAUAGGGGAGUGCGUUACCAUCUCUCGGAGUGGAGAAAUAGAAGACUCCCGAUUAAUCAUGAGGAGUAUUUCAAUAUGAAACAUGCUCAAGCUAGAAAUGUCAUUGAGAGAUGUUUUGGACUACUUAAGAUGCGUUGGAGCAUCUUAAGAGGUCCAUCAUUUUUCCCAAUUAAAACAUAACUUAGAAUUAUGACAGCCUGCUGCCUAUUACAUAAUUUGAUUAGAAGGCAUAUGUCAGCUGAUCCAAUAGAAAAUGAAAUCCUAAACUUGGACGAAUCUGAAAGUAGUGAUGAUGAUGAAGAUAUGAUUGAGACUGUUCAACCUACACAAGAAUGGACUGCAUGGAGAAACACUUUGGCCAUGAAUAUGUACAAUGAGUGGCGUGCACAAGUGUGAUUUGAUUAAAUUUUCUUACAUAUGCAUGUUGUCAUUUGGUUAUGGUUUGUUAUUUAAACAAAUAGUGAUUUCUUAUGUAUUCGGUUAUGAUACUUAACAAAGUGUGACCUGGUUAUGUAUUUAUUUAAAAAGUGUGAUGAUUUGCUUAUGGUUUUUCACUUACUAUUAAUUAUAUGCACUGUUGAUUAUAUGCUAUCUUAUUGUGUACGUAAUUAUAGGAAUGGAAAGUGAACAAAGUAGUCAACCAAAAGGAAGUAGAAGGGUUUGGAAACAAUAUGAAGAAGAUGCAUUGCUGUCCAUACUUGAGGAUGCAAUUGUUAAGAAUUUGCGAUGUGAUAACGGUUGUUUCAAACCCGGAACAAUGGCUCAAUUUGAAACUGCUAUUAAUUUGAAAUGUCCUAAUGCCAAUAUAAAGGCAGUUCCACAUAUUUAGUCCAAAAUGAGGAGGUGGAAAAAAGAUUAUGCAAUAGUUUAUGACAUGGUUAAUAAAAUUGGUUUUGCAUGGAAUGAUGUACGAAAGUGUAUUGAGGUUGAUAGCAAUGAAGUAUGGCAGUCCUAUGUGAAGGUAAUUCUAUAACAUAAUACUAGAAUUUAACUUUACAUAUUUGAUUACUUAACAUGUUCCUUUACAUACAAUUUAAUAGUAUGAUUGUGUCUACCAAACCAUAUCCUCUAGCCCCAUUCUGGAACAAAAUAAGAUUAUUUGUAUUUUAUGGAUAAUGUGAUUUGUUUUCGCAUUGCAAGUUAACAAAGAAACAGAGGGCUGGCUAGGAAAAUCGUUUCCAUUGUGUGACAUAUUGAAUGUUAUUUUUGGGAAAGACCGAGCAACUGAAGUAGGAGCUGCAACUCCUACUGAGAUAAUGAAUAAGCUUGAGCACAUUAAUGAAGAUGAAGAUGAAGAUGAGGUGGAGACUAGUUCUCCUUCUGUUGCCCGACGGUCAAGCAGUUCAAGUACCCGGAAAAGGAAGAGAGCUGCUAAUGAUAAUGAUCUUGCUGUGGCAUUUAAAGAAAUGCUUUCUGAAUCAGUGGAUAAUUUAGGUGAAGUUUUACAAGCUGCUUUUGGGAAAGGAGUGGAUCCAAAACCUGAGAUUGCUUCUGAAUUGUCAAAAAUGGAUUUGUCUAUUGAAGAUCAAAUCAAGGCACUAAAUAUUCUUUUCGAAAAGCCACAUAAUGAGAGAACAUUCUUGUCUUUGGAUGGUGCAAUAAAAAAAGCUUUCGUACUCAAGUUACUUGGACAAAGUAACCGCAAUUGACAUUUCAAACCAACAAUAAUAUACUUUGUUAAAAGCAGCAUGCAUAUCUUUUGUUAAAAGCUGCAGCAUGCAUAUAUUUUGUUAAAAGCGGCAUGCAUAUGUUUUGGCUAUUUGGACAAACUGUUUCUUACUAAAACCAAUUUGCAUUUGUAUAUUUUAUGAACUUGAAUAUGUAGUUGGAUUAUAUAAUGUAACGAUUGUAGUUGUUUUUUGUGAACAUUCUUUUAUGUUAUUGGAAAAUAUUUUAAAUUUGAUGUAUGAAAUUUACUAUGUUUCUUUGUUUUUUGAAAAUUUGUGUGGUUUUCAAUAGGUGUAAAUAUGAGAAAAGUUCAACAAACAAAGAAAGAUUUGUUUUUUUUUUUCUCUUGUCCUCUCCGGUUCAGUACCAAACACAGUAUAAAUAAUACGGUCAUUAAUCCGAAACUGCACCAAACGCCCGACUAAUUUAGUCAGUACUAUCCGGUGGCUAUUUAUCCUAUCCGACAGAAAUAGUCAGUACAGUCCGAGCUGCCAAACGAGGCCUUAGGGUUUUAUCAUAUAAAAGCCUAUUUUUUAUCUCGUUAAAUAAAAGUAUACAAAUAAAAACCAAUUUUUAUCUAAAACUCUGAAUUACAAACAAUGCAUUCUGUCAAAAAAAAAAUAGUUGAAUAAAAUUAUCCAAAUAAAAGCCUUUUUUUUUAGGAAAACUAAUGAAAAAGAUUUUGAAAAUUUUGAGUUUUAAACGAUAAGAACAAAAUAAAAGGUAAAGUAAAUAGUAAAUAGUAUCAAGAUUGACUUUUGAGUUUUAACGAUAAGAGCAACUUUUCUUGAGCUUCAAUUCUAAUCUGAAACUUUCUUUUGAACCUAUUUUAAAAAGUAGCAACAACAAUUAGAAGAUGGGCCACAUGUAAUGAUUCAUAGUCCAAUUUACUUUAGUCCAAGAUUGACCUAAUUUUAUGCAUCGACAAAUUUUAAUCAAAUAAAAUGUAAAAAAAAAAAACAGACGAUAGCAAGUAAGUUUUCGGGGUGAUCCGGAAGACAUGGAUGUCAACAAAAUAUCCAAAGUACCACUAGAGGAGGGCUAUGUAUACGAAAUGCAUAAAUAGGAAUGCAAAUAUCCAAAGCACCACUAGAGGAGGGCUAUGUAUACAAAAUGCAUAAAUAGGAAUGCAAAGACGAGACGCUAAUAUCAAAAUGUCCCUUUUAAUAAAGAAAAAAUCCAAAGACAAGGUGCCUAUAUCAAAACUCCCCAUUUUAAUAGUAGCUAAGUACUGGUAAACCAAGCUGUAAUCAAACCGGAGCUGAUAAGUACUGGUUUCAUAUACCCUUGUUGUGAAAAGAUUCUCAUAAACAACACGUAACUGAUUGAGCACUUAAAUGUGUCUUCGUGUACAUACGGCAUGAUCAAUUUAUGAAUUUCACACGUAGGAAAACUAAAAGAGUUCAUUUUCCACAUUGUUUCUUUCAGUUAUCGGGCAUUGUCCCCACAUUAGUUAAUGCCCUGCAUUGAGAUCAGCAAUUCAAUCAAAUCUGGCGUCAGUCCAGUGACUUCAGCUAAUUGAACAACUCAGUUGUUGAAAACAUCGCAAUUUUAUGUAAUUCUCUUUGAAACAAUGGAUUUGGGUACAUGUGAAAACUCUAGGAUCAGGACUCAGUCCAAAACAACAUAUGAGAUAACAACCCUACGACUCUUCUAUAUGAAUUAAACACUUGGAACUAGUGAAAAAUGCAUUGUUUUGCCGAAAGAAAAAUAAAAAUAAAAACUCGAUCCUUAUAGGAAGCCAUCAGUGUGAACACAUAAUGUGAAUAUAGAAACAUGGUGUGGGCUUAUCCUUGAAUAUAAAUAGGGUAGCACGUUCGAAGCUAUGGAGCAAGUAAAUCACACGAGAAAACGAGAAAGAGAGAAGAGGGAAGGGAGAAAAAAAAAAGAGACAAGUGAGCGUGAUCAUCCCCAUUUAACAUGGCAGCACCACUACCAAACCCUUUUGCGUGGCAAUCUAACCACAACAGCAAGUACUUGCACUUAGAUGGAGAAAUCGGAGGUCAAAGGGGGAUUCUCGAAUUCACCGAAGAGGAUCCUAAAUAUGUUUUCAAACGGGAUACGUGAAAAUCAAGUGCUCUGAAAACAAAUUAUACUUGAAAGGAGUGUGGAAUCAAACUUAUGAAACAUGGUUGAUCGUGGCCGCUGCUGAGAAGGAUGAUGAAGAUUCCACAUCCUUCGAGCAUAAGCCAGGCAAUUCAAGCUUCCGAAUGCGCCAUGUGAAGAGCAACCUCUAUUUAAGGCCAUACAAGAUAGGUCAUUCGGACGCAGUCCUCUGCGCAGUCAAGCCAGCUCCUGACGCUGGAAAUGAGGAUCUCUUUACAGCCUAUAGGCAUCCAUGAUCAUAACUAUGACUUGAUGUUUGUGGGUAACGUCUCUGGAAACCCUCACGAGACUUCACUCGUUCCAUCAGGGUCACCUAUGGGUUGAAAAGGCUUGUUGCAUGCGCUCAAUGCAAUCGAAUUCCCUGCGAAAGUGGCAUUAGUUUUCAUCACUGGUUUUUCUUGGUUUUUUUUUUUUUCUAAGUACUUUAGUUUCACUGUAUUACGUGUGUGUUAAACCAAUAAACACAUAUCGUAUGAGCUGUGUGGUUAUGUCUUAUGUGUUGUAGUGUUCAAUAAAAGUUGUGUUUCUUCAGAGUUCUUACUUUUAUGGACGUAUGUACGACUUUAAUUCCAUAUUUUGGUAGCUUUGAGUACUAAAUAAACUAAUUAAGAAAUCGAGAAGGAACUUCAAACUUGCUACUCCAUUCUAAAUAAGUGAGAAGAGAAGAUUGAUAUCUUGCAUCAACUAGGGUUUUAUCAGAUAAAAGCCAAUUUCGUAUCUCGCUAAAUAGAAGUAUACAAAUAAAAGCCAAUUUCUAUCUAAAUAAAACUCUGAAUUACAAACGAUGCAUUCUGUCAAAGAAAAAAAAAAGUUGAAUAAAAUUAUCCAAAUAAAACCCUUUUUUUUUUCUCGUUUUGCUGACAUGUAUAAUAUAUUAGCAUUUAGCAACUUCUUUCAGAUAGAAUACAAGCAGCUAUGUGAACAAGUAAAAUUAUAGGCACAUUCCCAUCAAUCGAACGGAUCAAAAGCAAUCUCGCAGGGGCCACAAGAUUCGAACCAUUAAGCAGACGAACCAAAACACAAAAAGAUCGAACUGUAAACCGAAACUUAAAAGAUUCAGAAGAAAAAUAGAAGAAAUGGAGAGCUGUUUUGUGGUUCAUAUUGGAGCUAAUGGAACAGAACAAUCGAUCAAAUUGUAGAGGGGACAAAAGGGGUACGAGAGCCUUGCAUUUAGAAGAAUCUAAAGAUGGUUUUGAGAGAAUAGAAGAUACCCAGUUGUGCAAACUCUGAUCGGUCGGCUCCGGUUGAUCCGGAAGCUGCAAUGGCGGCGGUCGUGGAGGUUCUUGGGGGCGGUGUUGGGCGGUGCGGUGCAGGUCACGCACGGGCGGUUGAUGGGGGAGAAGAGAAAAGAUGGGGUUUUGGGAUUGAAAGCCUUCUCAAAUCCAUAGAAAAAUGCAUGUGAUUAGCGCUUCUGGGUAAGUCGAUUUUGUGGGUUUUGGUGCAGGGUUUAUGAGAGUGAAGCUCCCAUGGAAUUUUGCUUUGAGAUUUUAGAGGAUGCGGAAGAGCCACGAUGCUAGAGAGAGAGAGAGAGAGAGAGAGGGUCUUUAAGGUUUGUUAUUCUGAUGUGGCCCUUGUGGGUUUAAGGCUGUGCCGUAACGCAGAAGGCACAAGCAACAACCACGAUUUAUUUUUAUAUUUUUAAUUUUGAUUCUUGAAGAAUAUUAAAAUUUUAUAAAACAUUGAUGUAAAUUACAUAUUCAUUUUAAUCUUUUAUUGCGUACUUAAUUCAAAUUUAUAUCAUAUUUUUGUUUUUAUAUUUAAUAGAUAUUUUAUUUAAUCCCUCCACAAAAAAUUUUAAAUUUAUUAUUAUACACAUUUUAAUUCAUCAAUUUUAUUUAACUUCCUCUAAUUAGGGUAUUUAAACGUAUGUAUUAUAGUAUUUUUUUAUGAACUUGUGUAAUGAAAUGUUUUUACCUAAAUGUAUUGUAAUGAAUUAGUGGCACAUAAGAAAAUAUGAAAAAACAAAGUGUACUGUAAAAUCCAUACCUAAACAUAUUAUACUAACUAGUGUACUGAAAUGUUAAUACCUAAAUAUAUUAUAAUGAAAUAGUGGCACAUAAGAAAAUAUGCAAAAAAAAUUAAGUGUACCGAAAAGUCUCUACCAAAAUAUUUUCUUAAUUAUAUAAGAUACUUACUGACACACUCCGACCGAGAUCAAGGCAUGUUAGCCGUCACGUGAGAGUGACGUAGCCAUAUGCACAGUGCGGAAGCAAUAUAGAUAAGAAUUAUACGAAUAAUUAAAAACUAAUUUACUAUACUAAACAGAACGUGAUAGGAGUUAGUUACAACAGUAAACACUCAUAAUCAGAGCAUAAAGUCUAGGUGCAGUCCAGUAGGACAAGUACUAGUUAUACAGGACCAAGAAUGUCCUACUAUUAUUUAGAUAAGUCAGAACUGCCGACGUCCUCAAGCCACCAACAGCAAGCUUACUUAAAACCUGGAGGAGCGCAAAACAGAAAACGUGAGUGGGCAAAAACAAUUGUUUUACAAAAUCAUUUCAUUUAUCAACAUAUCUAACCCAUCGCUGUAAAACAUGUAUAAUUUUUCCAUAAUCAAGAUAUAAGCAUAUACAUAUAUAUAUCUCUCUGAAAUCAUAACAAUUCAAUUCAUGCUUCACAUAAUCAUAUUCAUAUGUAUGCCAUGCCAAAAUAUAAAAGUAAACAAUUCAGGUAAGAAUGAUUUCAUAGAAAUAUGAUAUGUUAGCCAGAACUCCUAUGGUAGUCUAUACGGCUGAAUUCAUAGCUCAAAAGUCAAUCUAGCCGGAGUCACUACAAUGACCUAUACGGCAAUAUACUACACAUAAGUCGGAACCACUAAAAAUGGGUCUGUACGACAAGAUUGGGUGUAAAUUGCUAGUCACCUACGAGUCGGAACCAUAAAUAAGGUCUGUACAAUAAGACAAUGCACUUAAGUUGGAUCCAGUAUGAGCAUAUAGUGCAGGAGGUGACGUAAAUAAACAGGCAUGUACUUCAUAUCUCUGGGUAAAUCACAAUUACCCUAGGUGCAGUUUUAUGAGCUCAACAUUAUUCAAUCACAUAUCACAUCAUCGAUGAUUCACAUAAUCAAACAUAACUUACCUGAACUUACCUGUGCCUCCACAACACCACAUUUAUAUAUAUAUAUAUAUAUAUAUAUAUAUGCAACCAUGAAUUGCAUAUUCAUAAUAUAAAAGCAUUUGGCAUAUUAUUUCAAAGCAUACAUUCCUUAAAAAUGCAUUUCUGGGAAAUAUAUCAAGUAUAUAAAUAUAUAUUGAAAACAAAAGCCCACUCACUGGUAUGUCAAAGGGUCAUAGCCCCCGAGUCGCCCGUGGAUACGCUCGUCCUCGGGAUAAGUCUCACCUAUUUGCGAAUUAACUAUAAAAACGUUAUUUUAAAGCACAUAUACAAAACUAGCUAAUAACUUCUCAUACAAAACUCAAUUUUGGUAUUUGAAUAUACCAACGUGACCUACACAACCUCACGAACAUCGUGAUAUUUUUAGAAUAAUUUUUCUGUGGCUCACGCGCCCUCACGCGCCGGGGAGGGCACGGCCUCACGCGCCCUCACGCGCAUCACUUUCAACCUCCAGAGGCCAGAAUAAUGUCACCGGCGUCGGAUUCUGGGCAGACUUGCAACUGCCUCUUUCUCGCUCGUUUUUGCACCAUUUUUUAUAAAAUUUUCACCAAAAUGUCAUAAAUCACGAGAAGAAUAAGGUUAUACCUCUUGGGAGCUUCAAAUCCCUCAAAAACUCGUCUGGAGAAUCCUCUCAAAACUGGCCACCUUCGAACGUCAUGAUCCCGACGUCAAAACCGAGCUAACGAAGCACUCCGAGCUUCGUGAAAACCUCCUAGAGCUCGCGGUGAGCUUGGAUUGUCCUGAAAUGGGUACCAUUGCACUCGUAUGGUCCUCACGAACACAAUGGUACCAUUUUCUUCCUCGAUCUGCGAAGAUUUGGCUUGGUUCAAGGUUGUCCGUACGGAGGAGAGGGAAAAGAGAGUGAGUCCAAGAGAGAGUACGGGAGAGAAGAGAGAGAAAUGAUAUGGAUGUGUGUGUGUGGUUCCAAAAUGUACACCAAUCAAAACUCUUUAAUCUUUUAGCUCUAAUUAGGUCCAAUUAGUUAGGGAUAAAACUAAUUGACCCAAUUUCUUAACCUAAAAUACAAACACACACCCGACGUUCAAGGGUAAAUUCGUCUUUUCACAACCGCGAUAAUUAUUUCUCGGGACGGGCUGUGACACUUACCAUAAAUUGGUGAUGGAAAAUGUCGACAAAUAAAGUUAAUUCAUUAGAAUUUAUAAUAUUUUGCAUAAAAUGUAAUUCAUGGACACCAUAAAAUUAUAAAAGAAAAACAUUAAAUGCAUAUGCUGGCAUUAAACAUAGUAUAGAGACUAAAAUUAAUUUUUAAUCUUGUAUAAGACAUUUUUCCAAAUUUUAUCUUAUUUAAAGAUUAAAAUUUAAUUUUAUAGUUUAAAAUUUUGACCAAAUAAAAUGUAAAAGAACAAAAGACAAAAGAAAGUAAAUUUUUGAGGUGAUCCGAAAGACAUGGAUGGCAACAACAGCAUCCAAAGCACCAGUAGAGUCUUAACAGCUAAAGAAAUGUAGAAGAAAUCUUAGAGAGAAAUCGAAGAAGAAGGAAGAAAGAGAGAGAGAGAGAGAGAGAGAGAGAGAGAGAGAGAGAGAGAGAUAGAGAGAGAGAAGGAAACUGAACAGUCUUUCUGUAUUGUAUUGAAUCAAUGAUUACACAUGGUUUGCUAUACAUAUAGUUGUUUACAAUUAAUGACUCAGCAUUCUCUUUCUUAACCAACUAACUAACUUGUAACUGACUUGUACUAAAUGGCAUGUGGUGUAUGUUAAGCUAUUAUACACCCUUAGUUAUCAAUUAUUAUCCCCCCUCAAUCUUAGCUAGGGUAACCUAGUCUGAGAUUGCAACAAUGGCGAAUAAAAGCAGGACCAUGCAACCCUUUUGUCAAGAUAUCUAUAGUUUAAUGGUCAGUGGGCACAUACUGAACUUGUAAAUCCUUCCCUUGAACCUUUUUCACGAACAAAAUUAAAAUUUGUGUCCAAAUGUUUAAUGCGUGUAUGAAACACAGGAUUUGAACAGAGAGCUAAAGCAGAAAGAUUGUCACAUUGCAACAAUGGUGGUUUAGAAAUGAACUGAUGCAGAUCUUUUAACAAUAGUCUUAUCCAGACAAUAUCAGCUGCACAAUGUGCCAAGGCUUUAUAUUUUGCCUCCGUUGAACUUCUUGAGACUGAGGCUUGCUUCUUAGACUGCCACGAUAUAGGAUUGGACCCCAUGAAAACAACAAACCCAAUAACAGAUCUCCUUGUAUUCGGAUCGGCAGCCCAAUCAGAAUCUGAGAAAGUAGUUAAGGAAAUGUCAUGUGAUGCUGAAUAUGUAAUUCCACACUGCAAAGUGCCUUAUAUAUACCUUAAGAUUCUUUUAACUAUAUCAAAAUGUAUAUCAGUAGGAGUGUUCAUAUAUUGACAAGCCACACCCAUAGCAUAGGACAAAUCAGGUCUAGUAAAAGUUAGGUAUUGCAAAGCACCAACUAGACUUCUAUAUGCACUUGGGUCUUCCAAAAUCAUACCUUCAGUAGCCAGAAGUUGAGUAUGAGGCUUGCAUGGAGUUGCAAUAGGUUUACAGCCAUCCAUUCCAGCUUUAUGAAGCAAAUCGCUUGCAUACUUAUAUUGAUUGAUGAAAAUAUCCCCAUUGGCUUUAUACUCAACUUGUAAUCCCAGAAAAUAACCCAAUCUACCCAUAUCCUUUAAUUCAAACACAUCUCCAAGUUCCUGAAUUAUAGCUUGAACCUGAUUCUUAUUGGAUCCAGUGAGAAUAAUGGCAUCCACAUAUAGUAAUAGAACAACAAUAUCAGUGCCAUCAUGUUUCACAAAUAAACUUGUAUCAGAUUGAGACAUUUGAAAACCCAUUGCAGGUAAGUAUCCUGUAAAUUUGGCAUUCUAUGCUCGUGGGGCCUGUUUCAAGCCAUACAAAGACUUCACCAACUUGCAUACAUAUUCAGGAUAAGUAGAAUCCACAAACCCUUGUGGCUGUUUCAUAUAAACCUCUUCAUCCAAUUCACCAUGCAAGAAUGCAUUCUUAACAUCCAACUGUCUCAAUUCCCACUGAAAUUGAGCUGCAAGAGAAAUGAUUAACCGAAUUGUGCUAUGUCGCACAACAGGACUGAAUGUCUCAAAAUAAUCUAGUCCAUGUUCUUGAUUAUACCCUUGAGCUACUAAUCUAGCUUUAUAUCUUGAAAUAGACCCAUCAGGAUUCUUUUUCAGCUUGUAAACCCAUUUGCUACCAACAACUGCUCUGUGUGUAGGUGAAGGGACUAGCUUCCAUGUGGCUUGACCUUUCAAUGCAUCGAACUCUUCUUGCAUUGCUCUUUGCCAAUUAACAUUUGUAGAUGCACUUCGAAAGUUUGUAGGUUCUGCUAAAUCAUUAAUUUAAGCCAAAAAGGAAAACCCUCCAGUACCAUAGUUAUCAUGUUCAUCAAUCUGUAAAGUUGACAGCUGAGGAAAGCUAGCUAUAAAGGCUGAAUAAUCUUUUCUUGAAAUAGCGCCUGUUUGUAACCUAGUUUGCAUCCGUGGAACAGAAUUAUUAGAUUGAAUAUGCUCAAAUACUUUAGAAGAGAUUAGAGGAAGAGUUACCUCUAAUUGUGCAGGAUUGUGGACAGGUAACAUCAAAGCUGUGUGUGGAGGAGAUGAGUAAGUUGUUUCAGUUGACUGAGAAAAUGUUGUUGUUGAAAUAUGAGGGCUUGUCCCAACUGUACUUGCACUAGUCUCAUUAGCUGUUGUACUAACGGAAUGUGGAGAACUUACACCUACUGAAUCAGGUGUCAUAUUUCUGCUAUCAAAAUCACCAGAACGAGGCUGCACUAGAAGUGUAACAAUAAUAGGACCAUUCACAGACCUAUCUCUGAAAGAUUCACUCGAAGAAGAAUACUUGUUAGUACAACUCAUGACUUUGUAAGGAAACACACUUUUAUCAUGUAUAACUUGCCUGGAUAUAAUUAGUUUCUGAGACUGCAUAUGAAAACAUAGUGCUCCCUUAUAACCUUCUGCAUAACCAACAAACACACAUUAAACAACCCUUGGUUGCAAUUUGUUCUCAUUAUAGGAUCAAAUAUAGGGAUAUACUGCUGUUCCAAAUAUCUUAAUAUCUUGUAAACUAGGCUUUGUACCAAACAGCAACUGAUAAAGGGAUUUCAUCCCUAAUGUUUUACUUGGCAUCCUAUUUAUGAGAUAUACAGAAUGUGCAUAGGCAUGAAACCACAAGUUCUGAGACAAAUGAGCAGUGGUCAUUAAAGUAAUGGCAGUCUCUAUGAUGUGUCUAUGCUUCCUUUCAGCCAUCCCAUUCUAUUGAGGGGUGUAGGGACACAAAAUCUUAUGCACUACACCUUUAAGUUUCAAGAAAUCAUCAAACUGUUUACUUAUAAACUCUCCACCUCCAUCAGUUUGAAGACAUUUAAUGCUAACAUUAAACUGAUUAUGAACAAAGCUGAAAAAUCUCUGAAAUACACCAAAAACUUCUGAUUUAUUGAUUAAAGGAAAUAUACAUACAUGCCUUGUGAAUUCAUCGACAAAACUAACAUAGUAUCUAUAUCCUUCUAUAGAUCUAGUUGGUGAAUGACCCUAGAGAUCGGAGUGAACCUUCUGAAAUGAAAAAGUAGAUGUAUUUGUCCUAUCUAGAAACACCUGCCUUGACAUUUUUUCAGAAAUACAGAAGGAACAUACAUGUUUAUUAUCAUCUACUGUAAUAGCUAUAUCUGAUAGUUUCAUCAUCUCUGAAAGCACUUCAUUGCUGGGAUGUCCAAGUCUUUGGUGCCAAAUUGUAGACUUCACCUUAUGUCCAAGUAAUGCUACUGACUUCUGAACUGAUGGAGACAAACACCCUGGGAACAGCUUUACUGGAAUCUGAAACAACUCACCAUCCUCACUCCUUCCUUGGUAAAGAACAGCUUUGGUUACCUUGUCUUGCACAUAGAAAUUUACAUCAUCACAUAUGAACCAACAGAAGUUAUCUUUGCACAAUUGUUUGACCGAGAGUAAAUUCACAACUAUAGUUGGCACAUGUAAAACAUUUCUCAAGAUCAAAGAGUAAGGUAAUGUAUUUAAAUGUGUAGACCCAAUAUGUAUGAUUGGCAAACCUUCACCAUUGCCAAUUGUAAUUUUGUCAUUGCCUGCAUAUGAAGUGACUUGUUGCAAAGAAUCAAUGUUUGCAGUCAUGUGAUGAGAAGCCCUAGUAUUUAUAAUCCAAGAAUCAUUAGGUAAAACUGUUGGUGGAGCAUGAGCUUGCAUUGCUGUGAGAGUAGGAGCAGGUGGUGUCCCUUGAUAGGCAAAGUUAUUUCUGUGAUAACAGUCUAAUGCACUGUGCCCUUUCUUGCCACAAAUCUAACAUUCCAUACCCUGUCCACCUGAGCUUGAGUGAGUAGGCCUUUUUCCAGCAAUUAGGGGCUGUAUGCCCUCUUUCGAAACAAAUCUGACAUUCAUGCACUAUGUUGGGCUUUAUCUUAGUAAUACCAUACCAAGAUUGCCAGCUUCCUCCAUUUGGUCUGCCCCCAGAAUGACCACCUAUAUUGUUUCCAUAAUUCUGAGAUCUGUAUGCACCAUUCCCAUUCGGCUUGGAACCAUACUAAGGUCGAGAACCAUUAUUAUGGAACUGUCUUGGAGUAUUGGUUGUCCCCACAAAACCAUAGGCACUAGCAUGCUCAUGAUAUCCUAAAUCGUGAAAUUGUGGAAAUGGAUAAGAUGGAGGAAACAUCACUGGUGCUGAAGACUGUGGAAAAGGCAAAUGUAUCGGAGCUUGAGACUGGGAAAAAGGAUAUGUCAUCUGUGCAGCAUUUGAAGAUAAUGCCCCUGAGCUAUAGUGUUCUUGAGACUGAGAAAACGGAUAUGGAAUAUGUGCAACAUUGGAAGAUAAUACUCCUGAGUUAUAAUGUUCUUGUGACUGUGGAAAAAGAUAUGGCAUCUGGACAGCAUUCGAAGAUGAUGCUCCUGAACUAUAAUGUCCUCCAAAAACAGAACGUGCACCUGGUACUAGUGUUAGAGUACCUCCAGUAAUGAAAGGCACAUUAACAGAGUUACUAGAAGACCCUUGAGCCAUGGAGGAAUAAGAACCAGAACCAGUAUUCCCUUGCAUAUACAAUCCAGCAAUAUUUGGAGACAAAUUUUGAAUAACAGAAUCAGCUUCUCUUUCUGCACACAAUAACUGCUCCCUAAACUCUCUUAGCGUUAUAGUUGUAUCUCUUGUAAAAAUUACAGUUCUUAUAACCGAAUAUUCUCUUGGUAAACCAGACAAUGCUGCAACAAUAAAAUCAUUAUCACUCACUACUUCUCCCACUGCAACUAACUGAUCUUUAAUAUUUCUAAGACGAGACAGAUAAUGAUCAAUCGAACUUGGCCCUUUCUGCAUAGUCUGAAACUCUGUCUUGAGGGUAUUAACCCGAGCUUUAGAAACAGAUGCAUAUCGAUCUUGCAAAUUUAUCCAAGCUUCAUGCGCAAUUCUAGACCCUAAAACAUACUCAAUUGACUCAUCCAACAAGGUAGCAAUCAAUAAACUCAGAAAAGCAAGAUCCACAGACUCCCAUUCCAAGAAUGCAUCAGAAACUGUAUUAGUGACCUCGUGAUCCGCACUAACUACAUACUUUAGUAGACAAACAGAACCAUCAAAAUGACCAAACAGUUUAUAGCCUUUGAGAACAGAAGUAAACUGAAACACCCACUUCACAAAAUUCUUAUCAUUCAGCUUAAUGGUCAGCAUGCCUAAAAGGCUCUCCACUUUCACAAAUGACGACGUUAUGUGUACAAUUUGUAAGAAAACAAAGAAUCUUCACACAGAACUUUAAGAACCUUCAAUCCAGAACAGUAAACACCCAAUUCAACAAACUACACAAAUCAAGAAAUGACUGGCUUUGUGCCCACAACAAUCUACAGCAAAGUAAUCACCAAUGGCUUUGUGCCCACUACAAAUCAAAACUCAAGAAAUGGCUUCGUGCCUUCACAAACUACAGACAACCAGAAAUGGCUUCGUGCCUCCAAAUCGACAUAUUUGCUUACAACUUUGAACAAUCACUAGCAAUAACAGAACUACACAGAAAUUAGGUCAAGAAAAAUUAGGGAAAUUUAACCUGAAUCUGUCUUCAACUCACAGAACGAAGAACACCAAAAUCACCAUUGAUGUAGCACGCGAACCCAUAAUCCACACAGAAGAAUCACUGCCUCGAUACCAUCUUAACAGCUAAAGAAAUGCAGAAGAAAUCUUAGAGAGAAAUCGAAGAAGAAGGAAGAAAGAGAGAGAGAGAGAAAGAGAGAGAGAGAAAGAAAGAAAGAGAGAGAAAGAGAGAAAAGGAAACUGAACAGUCUUUCUGUAUUGUAUUGAAUCAAUGAUUACACAUGGUUUGCUAUACAUAUAGCUGUUUACAAUUGAUGACUCAGCACUCUCUUUCUUAACCAACUAACUAACUUGUAACUGACUUGUACUAAAUGGCAUGUGGUGUAUGUUAAGCUAUUAUACACCCUCAGUUAUCAGUUAUUAUAGAGUAGGGCUAUGUACACAAAAUGCGUAAACAGGAAUGCAAUCACAAUAACAGUUAAGUAUUGGUAAACUAAGUUGUAAUAUCAAAGCGGAGUUGAUAAGUUCUGGUUUCACAUAUCUUUGUUGUGGAAAGAUUCUCACAACCAACAAGUAACUGAUUAAGCACUUGAAUAUGUCUUUGUGUACAUAUAGCACGGUCAAUCCAUAACUUCCACAUGUAUGAAAAUAAAAAAAGUUCGUAUUCCAUCCAUAUUGUUUAUGUGGGACCAUGAUUUUCCGGGCCGAAAUAAAACUUAUCUAAAUGCUGUUACCUUAGAAGUCCGACCAUGUACUCACUAGCUCUGUGCGGAGCUGUAUCAGACGGAGUAGGGUGCCAACAUCACUUUACUCUAGGGCACCAGGUGGACCAUACUUGCGCUUAGAUGAAAAAUGUCAACAGUAAUGCUAUUUUUACCAUGUUUUUAUACUACAUUUAUAUACUACCUUAUGUGGUAUCUAAUGUGGACAGCCAUAUCAUUUAAAUUAAUCAGAAUUUAAUUUAAAUUAAAAACCACUUAAUAAACCAAUAAUUUAAACUCAUUUUAAUGGUUCAUAAUAAGCUUUGAAUUACAAACGAUGCAUUCUGUCAAAGAAAAAAAAAGUUAAAUAAAAUUAUCCAAAUAAAAGCCUUUUUUUUGGGGGGGGGGGGGGGGGUUUAGAUCCAGGUCAAAAAACAUAAAGUGUUUUUAGGAGUGAGUCCAGUUAUCUAAUUAUAUGUUUUUAUUUCUUUUAUACUCAUUGUAUAUUUCUAAAAAUAUUAAAAUCAAUUAAAAUCUUCUAAUAUUAUGCAUUUUCCAACUCCAAAAAAAAUAAUUAAUAUCUUAUAACAAAAACACUAAUAUACGAACAUAAAUUUAUCUGCAAAACAUUCUACCCUAACUCCAGUAACAAAUAUAUGAAUGUAUAUUAUACCUAUACGUGAGAUAUGAAACCUAAUUAAAAGGUAGAAAACAUAACAUAACUACAAGCAAGACACAUUAAUCUGUGACAGAUUGAUUAUAAAAAAAGAAUUUGUCAUAUAGGUAGAUAAAUAUAAUAUAAUUAACCUGUGGAUUAUAAAAAUUAAAAAUAAAAUCUAUAAAUGAAGUUUAAAGCAGGAGGAAGAACGAGAAAUAACAAAAAGAUAAAUAAAAAGAAAUAAGCAAAGACAUAAUUGGGAAGAAAUUUGAUUUUUAUAAUAAAUCUUAUCAUUAAACAUAUAACUAUUGAUAAUUAAAUAAUUAAAUACAACAAAUUGGACUUAUUUUAAUAAAAUGGAUUAUUCCUAUUGGCUAAAAAAUUGGACUUAUAUCAAGUUUCCCUUUUUUUUUCUCGUUUUGCUAACAUGUAUAAUAUAUAUAUUAGCAUUUAGCAACUUCUUUCAGAUAGAAUACACGCAGCUAUGUGAACAAACAAAAUUAUAGGCAUCCAAAAGAGUGUUAAAGUCUUUGUCAUCGAAGUGUUGUAGUAUCUUGUAAACGAAAGCAUCUUGUUUCGAAUUCACCUCCAUUUGAACCAACAUAAUCAAAGCUUCCUUUACUAUUUAAGUCAAAAUGUAUGGAACCCCACUCAACCUUAAGCUUUGUAUCUUUAUUUUCUUCUCUUAUUCCUUGUUCAUAAAUCUGAAAAGUUGAUCCAUUGUUCUUCUUAUGAGCAUCAUUCAUCAUCUCUGCUGUGUUUCCUCCUCGAUCUUGUUCGCUCAUAUUCUCCAUAAAAUUCGAUAGAGCCAAAUUGAAAUCCGUUAAUUGUGCUCUUGUUGCUUCUAUAUUAUGGGACCCUUUUACGUCGAGGGUGAGACCCUUUUGGGCCUUCUCCAAUAUGGCUUGCAAGUACUUCUCUUGAGCUUCAAUUCUCAUCUGCAACUUCUUUUGAACCUAUUUUAAAAAGUAGCAACAAUUAUUAGAAGAUGAGCCGUAUGAAUGUUGAGGUUCUAUCCAAAACGAAUUAGAAAUGGGAAGUGACCCUCCUUAGAAGCCACUGCAAGGUUUAUUAAACCUUCGAUGUGGGAUUCGCUUUUCACAUCGCCACAAGUAAAAGCUAGAAGAUUAUUUGGACACUAAGUUCGAUUUUAGGUAAAUGAUAGCAAAGCAACAUACCUCAAGCUGUUUUGUACUUCAAUCUGACACUUGAGAGCCUCCGACAAUGGAAUGGUUGUGGUUUCAGUAUAUUACCGUUAAUUAGUAUCCAGGCGCUCGAAACAAUCGAAACAGAAAACAUGUGAUCAUUAACUAGCUUAAGCAUCUUUUGUGAAUGGUUGAACUUUAAACAAAUACAAUGUAAAAGAACAAAGACAAAAGCAAGUAAAUUUUCGAAGUGAUAUGAAAGACAUGGAUGGCAACAACAGUAUCCAGAGCACCACUAGAGGAGGGCUAUACGAAAUGCAUAACAGGAAUGCAAUUUUAAUAGCAUUUAAGAACUGGUAUACCAAGCUGUAAUCAAAGCGGAACCAAGAAGUGCUGGUUUCACGUACCCUUGUUCAGUUUUCCCACCUCCUGAUGAUUUGAUGCCAGAACUUGUGGAAUGAAGAUUACUGAAAUGUACAUAUGAAUCCCCUAGAAUUUUAUAAUACAAAGGCAUUAGUAGAUUAUGAAGUUUUCAAAUCAGUUACUUGCAGUAACUUGAGCAAGGAAUCUAAUUUGUUUCCAGUAGUUCGUAUUUCGCUCACCGUUAUUCUCUCGGCUUUGUUCUUCGACGGAGUUGUGUUUCCGAGCAUGCUGUCCAAGUCUAUACUUCGUGAAUUGAUGAGUUUAGUAAUAUGAGAGUGAAUGAAGCUAAGUGUUAUAAGUGAACAAAAUAAAACAAAGAAAGAAUAAGCAAAGAAAAAGAAGAAAGAAUGCUUUUCAAUGAUAUAUUUAUUUCAUCUCAAAACAAGGUAUAUAUACAACCCUAUACAGAUAUGGGAAAGAAUAAGGGAAAGAAUAAUUACACCCUAAACUAGGAAACCAAUUAUAGUAGGAAUCCCACAAUUAUAGGAAUCCUAAUACAAGUCAACACUCCCCCUCAAGUUGGUGCAUAGAUAUUGCACAUGCACAACUUGUCUAGAAACGUGGAGAACUUGUCACUAGAAACCGCCUUCGUGAGAAUAUCUGCUACUUGGUCGUCCGUUCCUAUGGGAGGAACUUCAAUUACUUUACUAUCUAGCUUCUCUUUAAUAAAGAACCGGUCAACCUCUACAUGCUUGGUCCUAUCAUGUUGCACGGGAUUAUGAGCAAUAUCACGAGCAGCUUUAUUGUCACAAAAUAACUUCAUUGGCAGACCUUGUUUGACUCCCACAUCUUGUAACAGAAACUUAAGCCAUAAGAGUUCACAAAUACCGAGUGCCAUGCCUCUAAAUUCGGCUUUUGCACUUGACCUUGAUACAACAUUCUGCUUUUUGCUUCUCCACGUUACUAGAUUUCCCCCAACGAAGGUGAAAUACCCAGAUGUCGAGCGCUUAUCAUCCGUUGAUCCUGCCCAAUCAGGAUCCGUAUAGCACCCAAUUCUGAAAUGCCCAUUUUUCCAAAAUAGAAUUCCUUUACCAGGGCUUCCUUUUAAGUAACUCAAUAUUCUCAUAACUGCACUCAUAUGUUGUUCUCCUAGAUUGUGCAUAUAUUGACUAAUCACACUUAAGGCAUGAGCAAGAUCCAGCCUAGUGUGAGCCAAGUACAUUAAUCUUCCUAUUAACCUUUGAUACCUCCCUUUAUCAACCGGUACUUGGUUUUGAUCUAUACCUACCUUCAUUCCUUCGGCCAACGGAGUAAACAUCGGCUUACACGCUGUCAUACCGGUUUCUUCCAACAGGUCAAGAACAUACUUCCUUUGUGAUAGAAAUAUCCCGGACUUGCAUCUUGACACUUCAAUCCCAAGAAAAUAUUUCAAAGAACCAAGAUCUUUCAUUUCAAACUCUAUGGACAAAUAACUUUUCAAGGCUGCUUGCUCAACAGGAUCGUUACCAGUAACUACCAUAUCAUCCACAUACACAAUUAGAGCUGUAACCUUUCUGUUCUGAUGUUUCAGAAAUAACGUGUGAUCCUAAUUACUUUGCCUAUACCCAAAUGCCCUCAUGGACUUGGUAAAUCUACCAAACCAGGCUAUAGGAGACUGCUUUAAUCCAUACAAUGAUUUCUUGAGCCUACAUACCUUUUGUUUCCGUAUGUCCAACUCAUUGCACCCUGGUGGAAGGUCCAUGUAAAUCUCCUCAGUUAGAUCUCCAUGGAGGAAUGCAUUUUUUACGUCGAACUGUUGCAAAGGCCAAUCCAGAUUUGCUGCUAAGGACAGUAGAACACAAACUGUAUUGAUCUUUGCCACUGGUGCGAACGUAUCAGUGUAGUCGAUGCCAUAUUUCUAUGUAUACCCCUUUGCCACCAACCAUGCUUUAAAGCGAUCUACCGUUCCAUCGGCUUUGUAUUUUACUGUAUAAACCCAUUUGCAUCCCACAGAUUUCUUUCCGGCUGGCAAGUCAGUUAUUUCCCAGGUAGCAUUCUUCUUCAACGAUCUCAAUUCCUCGUUCAUUGCAUCUUUCCAACGGGAAUCUGCUAAAGCCUUCUGCACACUAUUAGGAAUAGAUACAGUAGAUAAUUGAUAUACAAAUGACUUAUUUGAUUCUGACAGGUGACAGGUAGACACAUAAUUGUUUAAUGGGUAUCUCACACUUGAAUCAGAAUUUGGCUCACUCAUGGAAUACUUAUGUUUACACUUAGGAUCUGCCUCAUAAGUGGGUUUGGGAAUACCUCGAUUAAUACGCUCUGGAAGACGACGAAGUGAAGGUGCAUCCGGUGUAGAAGACGAUUGGUUAGGAGAAGUAAUAUCUCGUGACACAUGCUGUAAUUGCUGCUCGGUUUCACUGCAAUUAGGUGGCUGCAUCUCGUUUUCCAACUCAAUACCUGUGAGACCUGUGGCUGCUCCUCUUCCUGACUUGUUGGCUGCUCUUCAGUAGGCUGCUCAGUGGGAUGAUGGCCAAAAUACACGGGUUGCUACCCUUCUCUAGGUGUCGUGGGCCGAUCACCACAACACAUGGGUUGUUGCCCUUCUCCAGAAGCCGUGUACUCUAGGCUCAACGUCACUAUUAUCUCGAGUCAGAACUUCUUCAUUAUUUCCAUACUCCCCCUGAAGUGAAGACGUGGAGGAUCCAAAAAACAUUUCAUUCUCGUGAAAAAUCACAUCCUGAGUAAUAAACAUUUUUUUACUCACAUGGUGAUAACAACGAUAUCCUUUCUGGGUAGUAGCAUACCCCAAAAAAAACACAACGAAUGGCUCGAGGUUCAAGUUUAGUCUUCCGUUGAGUUGGAUGGAGGUGAACAAACGCAACACAUCCUAUGACCCGUGGGGGAAGAUUGGGAGUCGGUGGGUUGCUAGUCUGAGAUGUGAGAGCCUGAAAUGGCGUAUGGAAGUUCAUAGUACUAGACGGAAGACAAUUAAUAAGAUAGGUUGCAGACGUAAGUGCCUCUCCCCAAUAAUGGAGUGGCAGAUGUGCUGCAAGAAGGGAAGCACGAACCAUUUCUAACAAGUGUCGAUUUUUUCAUUCUGCAACCCGAUUCUGUUGAGGAGUAUACGGGCACGUGGUCUGAUGAACAAUACCAUGCAACUCUAAGAAGGAACGAAGUUCCAUAUUAACAUUCUCCCCCAUUGUCACUUCGAAUAACCUGGAUAUUCCGAUUGUAUUGUACAGCAAUCAUUUUAUGGAACCGUUGAAAGGCCGAACUAACUUCACUUUUCGACUUUAACAAAAUAACCCAAGUCAUUAUGGUACAAUCGUCGAUAAAAGUAACAAACCAAUGAGCACCACCAAGAGUAGCUACUUUUGACGGUCCCCAUACAUCAGAAUGCACAAUCAUAAAAGGAACGGUACUUUUAUUUAAACUGGGAGGAAAAGAGGUUCGAUGGCUCUUAGCCAUUUCACAAACAUCACACUUAAACUGAGAAACAUCAUUCUUGACAAACAAACUAGGAAAUAACUUAUGCAUAUAACCAAAGGAAGCAUGCCCAAGGCUCCAGUGCCACAUCCAGAUGUCUAACACUUUAUAAGUAACCCCUUGAGAAUCAUCAACGGAAAGAGCUUGAGUUAGCAAGCUAGAACUACUGGUGGUCAACUCCAAGUAAUAAAGUUUCCCUCUUCUAAUACCAUAACCAAUCAUCUUCCGCGUCCGGAUGUCCUUAAAAACACAAAAAUAGGGCCAAAAAAUAACCAAACAAUGUAAGGCAUGGGUUAUUUGAGCAACGGACAACAAAUUAUAAUUUAGAGAGGGAACCAUAAGAACAGUGUCAAGUUUCAUGGUAUCGGAAAGGGAAACAGUGCCUUCCCCAAUAACAGGGACGGCAGUACCAUUAGCAACAUUGACUUCGGUUUGUGUGGAUGUUUUUAGUGAUGGAACCUGUCUAGAAUCACAAGUCAUUUGUUCAGUAACCCCGGAAUCAAUUAUCCAUGUAUUAUUCAUAACAAAAGUAGAAGUACUUAGUGCCUUACCAUCACUUCCUACCGCAGCUAUCAUGGCAGAUGCCUUGUCCGUUAUCUGAUCCGAAUCAUUCUUGGUUUCUGUAAUGGAGGCUCGAGAUUUGUUAUACCGAGGAUCACGAGUCUUAUCCCAAUUCUCAGGAUAUCCAAUCAGCUCAAAACAGCAACUCUUGGAGUGUCAUGUCAUGCCACAAUGUGGGCACUUACCUUGUGGACGAUCCCGGCUUGUCUGGCUAGGCCGAGUUUGUCCAGGCCAGUUUUGUAUCCCUUCUCGGUUCGACCCAAAAGAUGAUCCACGGGCCUUUGCUGCCAUGGCAGCGGGCUCCCCCUUGUCAACCUCUGUCUUCAUUGCUUCCUUUCGAUCGGCUUCCAGACGAACAUAGGCAUAAGAAGCCUGCAGACCAAGUGAGGGAUCCUUCCGCAGCACUUAUCCACGCACCUGAUCAAACCUAUCGUCGAGACCACCAAGAAACACAUAGACUCGUUGUCUCUCAGUGGAUUUUUGAAACACUUUGAUGUCGUUUUCACACUCCAUGGAUACUUUAUUAAAGUGAUCCAAUUCUUGGAAAAUCUCAGUGAGCUCCCCAAAAUAGGUAGCCAAAUGUCGUCCAUUCUAACGAAGACGUGAUGCCUUCUGAUUCAACGAAUAAAUUCUAGCCUCAUCAUUUUCAUCAAAGUAGGCUGCCUUAAGGGAAUCCCAAAUUUCCUUCGAUGUAGACAACCGAAUGUACCGUUUCAUAAUCUCAGGCUUCAUUGAAGACAAAAGCCAACUCUUAAUUUUUUGAUCUUCAGAGAACCAAUCAUCAUAUUUAGGAUCGUCUUCGUUAGGUGCCUUGAUAGACCCAUGAAGAUAUCCCAUCUUUUUCCUUCCAGCAAUAUGGAUUUGAAUGAGAGGAGCCCAUAAAUCAUAGUUCUUUUCAUCCAAAACCAUACCAAUAUUAAAGCUUGAAUUCUCUGACUGCACCAUAAUUGGAGCAGUCGCUGGAACAAUCUUAGAACCUGUCUCCUUUUCUUCAGCCAUCUCUCUUGCUGUCGGUAUAGCCUAAAACAAAAUUGCAACUCUGUAAUUGCCUAAUAAAAGACUAGGCAGAAAAAAAAAAAAAAAAAAAAAAAAAAAAAAAAAAAAAAAAAAACUUGCGGCGCUGAUGGGACUCCGAAAUCGUUUGAACAAACUGACAAAACAGGUGGCAGCAACAAUUUCACAAUUGCUCGCUGCAAUCGAUCAAGAACACGAGCAGCAACAACUCCUCUAAGUUGCUCGCUGCAAUUGAUCAGGGACACGGCAGGAAAAAUAAGGUUAGGGUUCGGUGUUUUCUUUUUUCUAACCCAGCUCUGGUGCCAAGAAGAAAGAAUGAUUUUCAAUGAUAUAUUUAUUUUAUCUCAAAACAAGGUAUAUAUACAACCCUAUACAGAUAUGGGAAAGAAUAAGGGAAAGAAUAAUUACACCCUAAACUGAGAAACCAAUUAUAGUAGGAAUCCCACAAUUAUAGGAAUCAUAAUACAAGUCAACAGAAAAUACCUGCAAAUCGCUUUUCAGAUGGUACAAAGUUAAUCCAUUCAAUCCCAUGAGUCAUGACCCUCAAGACAGACUUUGGAGUUGCUUCUGAAAACAGAUUAAACUUAACUGGAUUAAUUGGAGAAUUAGAAGUAAGGCUGGUUUCGGUUUGGUAAACCGAAAAUUGGAUAGGGCUUUGUUUAUUAGGCUGGAUCUUUUGGGCUCUCCCAAUUGAAUCCCAUAUUUAAGUGACUUUGAGUGCCAAAUUUUGAUGUAACUUUUAUGUGAGUUCGAGUACCAAAUUUUAAGUAACUUCAAAAUUUAAAUGACAUAGUAAAUAAGUUUAAUUUCAACUUGAAACUUGAAAUAGAAAGCAACUAGUGAAAUUCUCUAUAGCCUCUUCCGGCCCAAAAUGGGUGGAUAACCGUGGCUUGCCUACGGUUGUCCCCCUUUCUAAGUUUUGCUUACCAAAAUUGGACCGAAAAGUUCGGUAAUUUUUAGUUUGGUAAUUUCCGUUUCAAUACUUUCGGUUUCGUUUUGUAAUUUUCGAUUCAGUUUCGGUAUUUGAUUCAGAAAAUGUUAACCUAGUUAGAAGUUAUCAUGUAACAUUAUUAGUGGCUUAAUGUGUUUUAAAAUUUGAAUGGAUUAAACUGAUCAAGAACAAAGUAGUGACAAAAUCUAAUACACAUUCAAAGUUUCACCAUGAUCAUAAACAUUAUGCACGAUUUAUGAUGCUACUCGUAUUUUGUUUUGUCAAACAAUUUAACAUGUUAUAUUCUCGGAUUGUGAAUUGAGAUUAAAAGUAUGCCAGAUAAAGUAUUGCUCAAAAUUCAAAUGUGCAUAUCGUCUAAACAUGAUAACAUGCCCUAUUCAUUCAAAUGGUUCCUACCCAAAAUUCAAUCAAAUACCAGGCUCAAAAAUCCCAAAGAGUUCAUUGGAGUAACAAGAAGUAAAAGAAACAAGUCGUUGAAGGACAGAAAUUCAUCCUGAAGAAAAAUAAGAAGACACUUACUGUCAGGGCCACCGAGUUUAGUUACAGCAUCGACAAAUCUGUCGUGAAGAUCCGGCGUCCACCUCAACCUUGGUUUGGGGUCUCUCGUCAUCAUCACCCCAUUCUCAUAUCCACAAUUCCUUUCCCCUUCACAACUAACAUAAAUAUUCCUCUCCAUCAAUUAUUCAGAUUAAUUCUUCUAGCUUGUUGCAGCUGCUUUUGCUUGUCCGCCAAGUGAUUCUCAGAAACGCAGAAAGUAGCUCCUGAGAGAGACUGAUCGGAGUGGAAAGAAAGACAGAAAGCAGAAGCCGUAAGAAAAAGAAGGAACAUAGAAACAGUAGCAAAAACAAGAAUGCGUUGUUUUCAAGUGGUUUAUUUAUACUUAUUUAUUAAAACAGCAUAUGUUUGAAAUCUAAUGUAGAACUUUAUAGAUUUCGUAGCAUUUAACUAAGUUGAUCAGAGCAAUAUACUCCGCUUUUGCAUUUGUCAAGUUUAGAUUUUCUCCCCUAGUUAAGAUUAAACUAUAAGAGCACCCAAAUCUCAACUAGGUACAUAGCUACUUAAUACACCACUAACUGGCAAUGCAUUUUUAUAAUAAUCGCUAACUAGUUAGUAACGGUAAUACUGCAUGAAUCAAACCGUUAAUUGUAUUGUAUAUUUGAAUCGGAGAGAAAAGUUGGGCGACGAAUCUGAAGAGGAAGCAGCAAUGAUUCCCUUAAUAAUAAAAGGUUUGGCUGGCGGGCUGGCUUAUUCGACGGCAAGUCAUGGUUUCUAACAAGGGUUGCACGUGCAGAGAAGGACACGUUACGAAAUCUCCGCAUGCCACGGGGACUUCGAGAAUAUUAUCAGUGCCUUCCGGUAGGGUGGGUCCCUGCUGUAGGCCAUUGAUUUAUGUCCGUGAAAAGCUGUCUCUGUCCAUCCAUCCCUUCCUCUUAGAUUUGGUUGACAUUAUUUUUAAGAAAAAGAAUGGUGCAUUCAUAUGGUUGUAUCAAUUUUUAGAGGGGCACGGCCUCCUGCCGGUGGGGGACUCGGAGCUUUGCGUGUUUUAAAAAUAAAUAAUUAAGGUUGGUUUUGAAUGAACAACUUCGCUGACAUGGAUGCACCGCUAAAUUAUAUUUUGUGUUAAGAAAAUAAAGAUAUGUGAACAAAAAUAUAUGCAUAAUUUUGUUUCUUUGACAUAAAGCGUCAUUGUGGUAGUAUAUCCUUCUCCAACCUUCAAGUCUUCAAAUUAUCGAGUUGUUCCAACAAAGGAAAUAAUGGUGAAUGAUGGUACACAUGAUUGGAUUAAAAUAGAGAACCCUCAAAUUGCAUAAUGAAAGUGGAACUGUGGAAUGGUUUUUCAUUUGAAGGACACGAGAAAAGGGUUAGCUAUGAAGGAAAUUCAUCCCUUCUAAUCCUACCAUUUUAAGCAGGAUUGGAUUGAAUGAAUUUUCUUCGAGAGUAAUCCCUCUUCUAUCCUCUAGGCCAUCAUAAUUUUAUAUUUCUUCUUUCAACAUACCUUAAUUUGGUAGGCUAUAAAUUACAGUCCAAUCACGUGUAAACAAACCAUACAUUCUUAAUUUAUCAUUACAUUAAAGAAGAAGAAACUCUAUCCCAUGAGAAUGUCAAACAUGUUUGUAAGAUGAGCCAAGUUCCAAAAGACAGUUUUCCACUAGCAAAAUUUGAUUAAUUGGAAAAUAUAACUAUAAAUUCAAAAAUCAUGUAGCAAAUGAAACAAGAACACAUGUACAAAAUCAUUGUUACACACUCAUGCCUUUCGGAUUAAAAAAUGCACGAGCGACAUACCUAACACUUGAAGAUAAACAUUCACUGAAUGAAAAUAAUGAACCAGUUACAAGUUUGAGAAUUAGUCAAUACAACAAGGAGCGCGAAAUAAAGCACCAGUUGGGAUUAGAUUUUGACAGAAUCGACCGUCCAAGACGACAGGGCAAGUGCCAAAAAGGGGAAAGAAUUGGACAGUCCGGUUGAAAAAAUGGUUAAAUCUUAUGAAUCCCCCACCAGGGAUAUGCAUAUAGACCCAGAUACAAAGACUUUCAAGUUGAAUUACCGGUGAGGGGGAGAAUCAUUACUCUUCGGUCUCGAGAGGCAAAUUUUUUGUGAAUUGGAAGAAGUUUGAAUGAGAAAACUUAUUGGGGAGAGUCAUGAGUGGAUCAUUUCCACUGAGUUUUCGAACUGCCAAUCCCAACGCAUAUCCUAAAGCUCGUGCAACCGAAACUGGAACUGCAUUUCCAAUCUGACAAUACCUGCACAAAGAAAUAAGACAAUCAAUGAUAACUCAUCUUAUAGAAUAUUUCAGUUUUCUCUUUCAUUUUCUUCCUCAGUCACAUCACAUCCUGCAGAAAUAACUCAUUCAAAGCACAAAAUGAAAAGUAUAUGCAACUGUGUCAAACUGUAUCGUUUGGAAGGAGAAAUGGUCGUUACAGUGUAGACGAGUGUUUUCCAUAUUAAAAUAUGGAUCAACAAACCAGACACGAAUCAUAAACAAUUCAUCAUUUAUUGAAUAAACUUGCAAAAGGAGUCAAAUAUUCAACGUCACAUUCAUAAGAAAAACUGAAGGACCAUACCUCUCUUUAACUGUCCCACAGAACCUAUAAUAAUCAGGAAAGCCUUGCAAUCUUGCAGAUUCACGUACAGUGAGAAUUCGGUCCUGCUCCGGAUGUAAUACUACCUGCAGAAGGUUAUAGGGUUACCCCAAUAUUCAAAAGAUGAAAUGCCAUAAAGAACUAGACUAGAGAGGAUGGUUAAACCUGGUUGUGACAACUUGGGAAAGUAAGCACAGUGGGCACUGUCUCAUCCCACCAUAACCUCGCAAACGGUCUAAAAAUAUAAUUAAAUUUUUAAAAAAAUAAGAAAAAUAUGAGGAAAUAGAAUAGCAGUAAAUGGUAAAACACAUUAGAAGGCUAACAAAAAAAAAAAGAACCUUUUCGAUUUGCCUUGUUCAUAAGUAAAGCAAUAGUCUGGUACCUGGAAGGAAAAAACACUGGUUACACACUAGCCAAUUUUCAUUUUACUUAUUCACAUUAACAUUGAAAAAAAUACAUCAGUUUCAAUAGCACUCUUUAUUUCAACCUACAGAGGUUCCUGUGAGCAGUUUUGUGUCCUUUCAGUUCCAUUCAGCCCUUUAAGAUGACCUAAAUUCUCACUAUACAUACUUUCGUACAUAGCUAAAUUAUUUUGUUUCUUAUUAACAUCUAAGUAACAAAACUUAGAGUAUCAACACUCACUAAUGGCCUUCCAGAUGGCAACAGAGAAUGCUUUUCAGUUGACUCUCUCCGAGCCACAUUGUCACUUCCAACAACAACACCAGGUAGAUCCCGGAAAUUUGCUCCCUGAAAAUAGCUAUAAGUUAGAAACAACAGAUGGUAACAAAGUUAACAAAAUUUGAAAGACAAAUAAACGUGAAGUUAAACUUAUCCAUGCUAUAUAGAGUGUGUGUGUGUGUGUGUGUGUGUGUGUGUGUGUAUCCAACCUUUCUUUUUGGAAUCUGACAAACUCGUAAGUAAUCAUCUUCGUUUAAGUGGUAAGUCCGAUGGUCAUAUAGUGAAACUGUUGCUUUCGUAGUGCCAUCAAACGCAGAUCCCAUCAUCUCUACACAACCAGCGUAAAUGAAAGUUAAAAUGGAAAUCAUUUAAAUAAGUGUAGAUGGACGUAGAACAGAUCAUAUGAAUGGCCUGCCACCCAAACCAAAAUAACAAAAACAACAAACAAUUACAGGUAGCCCUGGCAUAAUGAAAAUACAAAAAAUUCAAUGUUGCUAGUAAGUAUGAUUUAUCAGUUAUAUUUGCAAUUCUACUAUACAAAAGUUUCUAUAUGUUAAACACAGAUGUCAAGCAUUUAACAUCAUUAUUUUUCAAAUGUGGAUAUGUAGGGGCAAAGGAUAAGAACACACUUUCUCAUUUGAAAUACUUGGAAUUUAGCACAUAUCAUGACAGAGGAGCUAAGCCACAUCAACCUUAGAAGUUUACCAAGAGCAUACUAACGGGGGCUCUAAGGGCCAAGAACAAAUUUGGUAUAUGCUGAUGAUGUUAAACAUUAACUGUAUACAACAAGUUCUGAAAAUAGUGAUAUUACCAUGCUGUGUUGACCUUAUAUAUCUUUGGAAAUCUGUUUCAGGAGGCUUUUGGAAUGGCAUUUCUUCUCUUUUUUCAUUGUUUGAGACCUAUAAAUUUAAACACAAUUAGAAUUUUGUUGAAUUGUAAGAGAAGAGCUAAGCUUCAAAUACGAUGAACUUACAGAAGGAAGAUCCGAGAUGGCAUCGCGAAGAACAAGAGCUUUUUCUAAUAAUUCACGAGGUUGUUCUUCAUCAUAAGCAACAGUGUUCCGCUGCACAUGAAGGCAAACAAUUUAAUUAGUAAAGAAAAAUAGAACUGAAAGUUUAAGGUUUGCUUAGAAGUACCUCAAACUCUGGUGGAGGCCAGUAUCUCACUAUGACAUCAUGUGUUGGAAGAGGAAACUGUGGCAGAUUCUGUGAAGAUAAAAAAGAGGGGAAAAUACGUCAGGCUCUUUUGGCCUUCCAAAAAUGAAUGAAUGCAUUAUUAAUCGGUAACGCGAGAAUUUGAGUGAGCUUGAAUUAUGUUUCAUAAGUCUAGUUAUGGAUUUUAUGCAUGGGGCAUGCCUUUUAGCUUUGUCUGUGCAUGUAUAUGUGUGUGACUCAGAUAUGCUAAAGAUAUAUUUUCUGUUUCUUAUUCUUUUUCUAAUGUUUGACGAUGAAAACAGUUAUAUGGCCCAUAUACGUAUUGAAAAGAAACGUAAUAACCAUACUUUUAUUUUGGGAAACCUAAACUGAAUAGUAACCAACAAGUAUCUAGCUAUCACAUAAAAGAAAUUUCAGGUCAGAUUCAUGGAAUGCUCAUUGUAUUUUUCGUGUUACUCUCGAUCAUUUAUUAAAACAAUGAAACAAAAAGAGAUCACCUCACAAGCAUGAGCACCCCACAAGAAAACACGCAACCGAAAUUGUGGAAGGCCAUAACAACCGGCAGCAAGUAUUCCCAGCCUCGCUUGGUACUUCAUAUGCACCAAACGACUAAGUGCAUAUCUUCCAAGAGAAGCUUUGUCAAAUCUCAAAAUGUCAACAACAUUUUCCAUCAGCACAAACUUUGGCUUCAAGAAGUUUACAAUAUCCAUGAAGACUACAAUUUGAUGAUUCCUCUCAUCAUCCAAUGGAGAAUCAACGUUUCUAUAGCGAUUAUAGCCGCUAAUUCCUUGGCAAGGAGGGCCCCCGCAAAUUACAUCAACAUCUCCCUGAAAUUGUACAUAUCUAUUUAGGAUUCGGAUAGCGAAACACAAGAUCAGUAUAUAUGAUACUACUUUAGCUUGUUCAAUCAGUUACUACUUACUGGAAGUGGCAAAAUUUUCACUUUCCUCCCAUUUCUUACAAAAUCCUGUAUACUUUCUUGGCAGUUACUGAGAAGAUAAAAAAAUAAAAAAUAAAAUUAGUGCUGAUGCGGAAAGUCAUAUUCAUAAUCAUAUCAUAAGAAGUGGUAUACCUUAAGCCUUCAAUUGGUUCCCAUGUAUCUUCACUGCUACCAUAACCUUUCCAAUGCACCUAGAAAAACAAUACGAUUAAAUAUUUAUUAUGAUAAAUAAUUUUGUAGAAAAAUGAGAUAAUGUUAAGAGUGAAUGAGGAAUUCACAGUCGAAUUGCAUGGAGCAAAAAUAACAGUAACAACUAUGAAAAAAGACUAAAAACCUAACAAUGGAAAACGUCACUUUACAAAAAAGUAUCUUAGGUUAAUAGUUGAUAUUGAAGACUCCCUAAAAUCUGCAGUUACCAAUGCCAAGAAAGCUGACCAAAACCUAAGUCAAUCCUACAGUUCAUCCUGCUGACUUGUGUACAUUUAAUUGUAAAGAUUAGCUGCUGAGUAAUUGUACAGACAUUUACAAGAAUUUUAAAAUUAUAGACACGACUUUUGCCAAUUCCCAAAACCUCGCAAUGCAAAAUUAUGGACGUGAGUUUUGUGAAUUCCGAAAACCAGCAACUCCUAAACUAAAAGCGGAUUUAACACUACAAUCCUCUGUACCUAAUGUAAGAAAUCAUAUAAGGUUUUCCAACCCAACUCAUGCAUUGAUUGCCUUACAUGGUAACACACAAGUUUUCUAAGUAGCGGUAACAGAACAGUAGCUAAACCACUUUGUUUUAUGCUUCAGGAAUUUCAAUAAUAACCAGAGGACAUGAUGUUACGCAUGUGUGCACAAAAUCUUUUGCAUCCCUCAAUGACAUUGCAGAUAUUGUCAUCAGACAUCUUAGAAGCAUUUUUGUUUUACCUUAAGGUUCACUCCACGCUUGCCUGUCUUAUUAGGAUCACCAAAGCAGAUAUCAACAAUCCUCGAAACUUCAUAUUCACCGGUACCAACCUCAUUACCAUUCUUUGGUACACUUAAGGUCUUCGAUCUUAAUGGAUGAGUUCUUUCGACAUCAUUGGCCUUAUGCCUUCUGCAUAACUUUUCCCAUUCCUUCAACAGUUGUAGAAAAUCCUCAGCAGUUUCAUUCCUGACCUACAAAAAGAAGCAUAGAAUUAUUCUGUAAUGUCAUUGAAGGGUAAAUUGGCUAUUACCUAGAAACGGAUAAGAUAUCUCACUUGCGUUUCUGGAUGAUUUAACUUCAAGCUUUCACAGGCAGAUUUAUCACUGUCAAGGGCCCAUUUCUACAAAAAAAAAAAAAAAAAAGUAAGAUUAGCUAUUCAUGACAACAUGUUUAAAGGAUACAGAAUCCAAAUACAAAUUAUAAAAAUAUUUAUAUAGUUGAAUACCGUGACAAGAUUAACACAGGAAAGUUUAGCACCAAAGCACAAUCCAGUUGACAUUCCACCACAACCACAAAAAAGAUCUAAGAGGGCUAAUUCUGCUUUGUAAGUUUCAGAGCUGGGCAUAUUCUCCAGUAAGUUUGAAGUUGACAGUGUACCAACUGCUUGGAUUGAAUUGCAUGAUGGCAUGUUGUGGCUCUUCACAGAAUUAUCUGAAGUAAAAAUAGACAACGCUGAACUGUCAAAUCUUGGGAAUUGACGUUUCAGUAUAAAGUUUAAUUUCUUUGUCUACAUUUUGUCCCUUUGGGUAGAUCUUGGAGGGCCAAUUAGUAGAAAUACAAACAAAACGUUUUCUAUAUAGGUAAUACAAGGAUUACCAGACUAUUUCCGUAUCCCAUUAGAUAUAGUUUCUUUAAUAAGUCAUUCAAGAUUGUUUAUUAAAUUUUAUAAUAAGUGAUGAAUGAAUUUUAAUACAAACGUCCAAAAUUACAAUAGAGGUGACCAAUCCCCAAAAUUCUUUUUGAUUGACACCAUCCGUAUGACCAAAAAACUUCCAGCACACUGAAGCCCAAGGAGUUCUACCACAUACAUAGCAACUACAACAACAACAACAACAACAACAAAGCCUUUUCCCACUAAGUGGGGUCGGCUAUAUGAAUCCUAGAACGCCAUUGCGCUCGGUUUUGUGUCAUGUCCUCCGUUAGAUCCAAGUACUCAAGUCUUUUCUUAGGGUCUCUUCCAAAGUUUUCCUAGGUCUUCCUCUACCCCUUCGGCCCUAAACCUCUGUCCCGUAGUCAUAUUUUCGAACCGGAGCGUCAGUAGGCCUUCUUUGCACAUGUCCAAACCACCGGAACCGAUUUUCUCUCAUAUUUCCUUCAAUUUUGGCUACUCCUACUUUACCUUGGAUAUCCUCAUUCCCAAUCUUAUCCUUUCUCGUGUGCCCAUACAUCCCACGAAGCAUCCUCAUCCCCGCUACACCCAUUUUGUGUACGUGUUGAUGCUUCACCGUCCAACAUUCUGUGCCAUACAACAUCGCUGGCCUUAUUGCCGUCCUAUAAAAUUUUCCCUUGAGCUUCAAUGGCCUACGAUGGUCACACAACACGCUAGAUGCACUCUUACACUUCAUCCAUCCAGCUUGUAUUCUAUGGUUGAGAUCUCCAUCUAAUUCUCCGUUCUCUUGCAAGAUAGAUCCUAGGUAGCGAAAACGGUCACUUUUUGUGAUCUUCGCUAGAUUGCUCCGGUCAUUAGUGUGGAUAAGUAUAUAAAUGGAUAGAGAUAGGAAAGCAAACACAAGAUGUAUGUGGUUCACCCAGAUUGGCUACGUCCACGGAAUAGAGAAGUUCUCAUUAAUUGUGAAGGGUUUACACAAGUACAUAGGUUCAAGCUCUCCUUUAGUGAGUACAAGUGAAUGAUUUAGUACAAAUGACAUUAGGAAAUAUUGUGGGAGAAUGAUCUCGUAACCACGAAACUUCUAAGUACCGGAGUGUGGUAUCGUCUUGACUUGCCUUAUCUGUCUCAUAGGUAGAUGUGGCAUCUUUUCUGGAAGUACUCUUCCUCCAUCCAGGGGUGGUAUCUGUAACUGGUGGAGAUGCACAAGGUAAUGUAUCUAUUUCACUUGAAGCUUACUUGUAGUUUCAGGCUUGGUCAAGCGCGAUACAAACCAUGUAGUAGGAGUCCCCCAAGUCGCCGAGCUAGGGGAUCUGCUGAAAGAGGUGACAGACAAGGUAAGCAAUCAGAGCUCCGGCUGAUUGUUCACAUUCUCCCUAUCUUGCAGGCAGCAUGAAGGAUAAAGAGAAGAAAAAUGAGAAGAGAUGAUAUGGGAUACUUUUGCUUUUGAAGAAGUAACUUUCUACAGGCUUAUUCUUGAACUGGGCUGGAGGGUUUUCUGGUUUCCUCCAUAGUAUAAGGCCGACUAAAGAAUUUGAGGGUCAAAACAAGUCCAUCAAAUCUAGAGUACGUUCGACCUUGCUGAUAUGGGAUACUUUUACUUUUGACAGAGUAGUGGAUGUAUCGGCACGUGUGCUGUUACGCUUGUCUCCACAUGCUUCCUUGUAUCCUUCUCACUUGCCCUAUCUGUUCCUCAGGCAGAUGCGGUAUCUUCCCUGGAAGCAUAAGAUGUUGAAGAUGAGUACUCGAGAGCAAUGCCAGGUAAGUAAUCAGGUAAGGGGUUCCAGGCAGUCAGUUCCUGGCUGGAAGCUUGAUUCCAAGUGCUGACUGAUUGCUCUCUUUCUCCUUGUCUUGCAGGUAAGAACAAGGCCAAAGGAAAAGACAGGGAAAAAGCAUGAUAUGGGAUACUCUUGCUUUUAACCCUGAUGAUAUGAGAUAUUCUUGCUCUAGUAUAGCUUGUUUAUUGAGGUAUUAUCGGGGGGAAAGAAAGCUGAAUAUUUCGAAAGGCUUCGUUGGAAGUGCCCUCUCAGAUAAGAGGAAGGGUUGAGCAUUUUUGCAGGUCUGCCUAUCCGUUGGGGAUGGAGGUCGACAUAUAUAAGAGUCUCCCUAACAUCAAGUAAUAAUGUUAUUCCUUUACCCUGCUUGGUCAUAGCACGGUAGUGGGAGCUGCCAGCUUCACAUGUUUUAACUCUGUCAGAGCACUUUGAAAAAGUGGUCUGUGGUAUCUGGAAAGCUGAUGUUGCGUGUGAAGAUUACAGACAAGCUUUAUCCAAGGAGAUCCAGCUCUUGAAGUUGGGAAAGUGGUGCCUCUUUGGUUUUCGAACAAGCAAUCCUGUCGGGGAUCUGGCUCUCGAGAUUCGGAGAACGAUGCCUCUUCGAUUUUUGAGAAAGCAAUCCUGCUGGGGGUCUGGCUCUCGAGAUUCGGAGAGCGGAGUCUCUUCGAUUUUUGAGAAAGUAAUCACGUUGGGAGUCUGGCUCUCGAGAUUCGGAGAGCGGUGCCUCUUCGAUUUUGGAGCAAGCAAUCUUGUUGGGAGUGUUUUCUCGAAUGUGAGUAAAGGUUGGGCAUGUUUGCUAGUCUACCUUGCCACGAAGCACAGAGGUUGACACACAGGGACUUUCCAAUUAUCCAGCAGUGGUACUGUUCCUUUACCCUCUCUUCGAUUUUUGAGAAAGUAAUCAUGUUGGGAGUCUGGCUCUCGAGAUUCGGAGGGCGUGCCUCUUCGAUUUUGGAGCAAGCAAUCUUGUUGGGAGUGUUUUCUCGAAUGUGAGUAAAGGUUGGGCAUGUUUGCUAGUCUACCUUGCCACGAAGCACAGAGGUUGACACACAGGGACUUUCCAAUUAUCCAGCAGUGGUACUGUUCCUUUACCCUCUCUUCGAUUUUUGAGAAAGUAAUCAUAUUGGGAGUCUGGCUCUCGAGAUUCGGAGGGCGAUGCCUCUUCGAUUUUGGAGCAAGCAAUCUUGUUGGGAGUGUUUUCUCGAAUGUGAGUAAAGGUUGGGCAUGUUUGCUAGUCUACCUUACCACAAAGCACAGAGGUUGACACACCGGGACUUUCCAAUUAUCCAGCAGUGGUACUGUUCCUUUACCCUUGUGGGUAAUAAUAUGGUAGCUAGACCUUCAAAAUUUAUGUGUCUAAACUUUGUUAGUGUUGUUUCUUUCCUAUUCUUUUACCCUUCUUGGUCAGAGCGAUGUAGUAGGAGCUGCAAGCUUCACGUGUCUCAACUUUGUCAGAGAACUUUGGCAAAGUUAUCUGUGGUACCCAUGAGCUACUGUUGCGUGUGGGAAGUGGGUGAUUGAACAGUACGAUUCAUGUGCUUUCUACUUCGCCAGAAAUGUUCGACAGAAUGCCCAUAAUUUCCGCAAAGCUGAGUGUGCGUGUGACAGGUGCUGACAAGGCUGGAAGAGUAGGUGCCUCUUCAAUUUCUGAGAUCGGCCCUCGUGGUCUCUGAGCAGCCCAGCUUUUGAGAAAGCAAGCCUCUUCGAUUUCUGAGAUCGGCCUUCGUGGUCUUUGAGCAGCCCAGCUUUUGAGAAAGCAAACGCCUCUUCGAUUUCUGAGAUCGACCCUCGUGGUCUUUGAGCAGCCCAGCUUUUGAGAAAGCAAACGCCUCUUCGAUUUUUGAGCAGGCGCCUCUUCGAUUUCUGAAGCUUCGUCGAGUGCAGAUUUUUAUAGGGGCUGACAUUAAGCUCCAAAGCACACUUGAAUAUCCACCCGUAGAAGCUCCAUUCUUGCACUUCUAAGAUCUUGAUUUGUCCGACCUCUUCUCUCUUCAACACCUUUGAAAAUGUCUGGCCCCUCCGACCGUCGUUUUGACUUGAACCUUGUUGAAGAGGCAGCCCCGCCUUCUCCAGACAACAUAUGGCGCCCAUCCUUCGUCUCCCCUACUGGUCCUCUUACCGUUGGGGAUUCCGUGAUGAAGAAUGAUAUGACCGCUGCAGGUAGUGGCCAGGAACCUUCUCACUCCCAAAGAUAACAGACUACUUUCCAAACGGUCUGAUGAGUUGGCUGUUAAGGAUUCUCUGGCUCUCAGUGUUCAGUGUGCAGGUUCUGUGUGUCUAAUAUGGCCCAACGCCUAUUUGCUCGAACCCGCCAAGUUGAAUCAUUGGCGGCUGAAGUGAUGAGUCUCAAACAGGAGAUUAGAGGGCUCAAGCAUGAGAAUAAACAGUUGCACCAGGCUCGCACAUGACUAUGCUACAAACAUGAAGAGGAAGCUUGACCAGAUGAAGGAAUCUGAUGGUCAGGUUUUACUUGAUCAUCAGAGAUUUGUGGGUUUGUUCCAAAGGCAUUUAUUGCCUUCGUCUUCUGGGGUUGUACCGCGUAAUGAAGCUCCAAAUGAUCAACCUCUGAUGCCUCCUCCUUCUAGGGUUCUGUCCAGUACUGAGGCUCCGAAUGAUCCCCCUCCGGUGCCUUCUCUUUCUGGGGCUCUACCGACUGCUGAGACUUCUCCUAAGCAACCUUUGUGAAGGCUCCCUCUUGUUUGUUUAUUUUGACUCAAGUAUAUGUACAUAUUUGUAACUUAUCGGGGAUAUCAAUAAAUAAGCUUUCCUUCAUUUCAACGUAUUGUGUUAAAUACACCAAAGCCUUCUUCGCUAAGUUCUUUGAAUUUUCUUUUGUUGAAGCUUGUAUGUUGAAGCUUUCUGAGUGGAGCAUGUAGGUUGAGGUAGUGUUCCCUUAAUUUCCCGAGUGAGGAAAACUUCUCGGUUGGAGACUUGGAAAAUCCAAGUCACUGAGUGGGAUCGGCUAUAUGAAUCUUAGAACGCCAUUGUGUUCUGUCCUGUGUCAUGUCCUCCGUUAGAUCCAAGUACUCUAAGUCUUUUCUUAGGGUCUCUUCCAAAGUUUUCCUAGGUCUUCCUCUACCCCUUCGGCCCUGAACCUCUGUCCCAUAGUCGCAUCUUCUAAUCGGAGAGUCAGUAGGCCUUCUUUGCACAUGUCCAAACCACCGUAACCGAUUUUCUCUCAUCUUUCCUUCAAUUUCGGCUACUCCUACUUUACCCCGGAUAUCCUCAUUCCUAAUCUUAUCCUUUCUCGUGUGCCCACACAUCCAACGAAGCAUCCUCAUCUCCACUACACCCAUUUUGUGUACGUGUUGAUGCUUCACCGCCCAACAUUCUGUGCCAUACAGCAUCGCCAGCCUUAUUGCCGUCCUAUAAAAUUUUCCCUUGAGCUUCAGUGGCAUACGGCGGUCGCACAACACGCCGGAUGCACUCUUCCACUUCAUCCAUCCAGCUUGUAUUCUAUGGUUGAGAUCUCCAUCUAAUUCUCCGUUCUUUGGGAAUCACCCAACUUGCAUGAGCUGUAACGUAAAGGGAGAAUGAAGAGAAACGCGAUCUGCACUUUCUUCACCAGCCUCAGAAAGAAUGCAGCACUGAGGGCUAACUUUCUCUUUACCCAAUAAACAUAAAAGAAUUUGUAUCUUAGGAGACUUUUUCCUUCCAAAUCUGACCAAUAGGUUAAAGCAUGACAAUGCACAUUCAUUGCAUUAAAAAAAGCAUGUACAUGUUUCUAAAACUUUCUAAUUAGUAGUUGCCCUACCCCCUCCCUCAUUUUUUUGAGCGGUAUAAUCCAAUCUUAUGGUACACCACACCAAACAUUGCAUGGUAUUGAAAGUAUCAUAUCUAGUCUAUUCCAACUAUUGAGCAAAGCCAAUCUAACCAAAUCAUGCGCAAAAAAAUAGAACCAAACAAAUAAACCUAUCAUUGUCACAGUAUGAUCCACUAACCAGAGAUGAAGGAGCGAAAUGUGGAAUAGUCCACACAGUAUUCCAUAUCAUAGUAGAAGUCAGACGGCGAAAUGGAGUUCACUUUUAACCCUACCUGAAAAAGUCAAAAGAUUAGUACUUCACUAGUAUAAUAUACAGCACGUGUUUGGCAAAAUGGCAAGAUACAAGAAAUCAUUAACAGAAGUCAAUUUUUAAACAGUAGAAAUAAUACCUUAGGGGAUAUAUGUGUAACAUUGACUUUUGAAAUAAUGCAAUCUAUCAAAUUAUCGUUCAUUACGGUAGAAUAGAAUAAACGCCUCUUGUCAUGAGAAGUUCCUACUUCUUUAAUAACCUGAGAAACAAAUAGAAAAACCAAAGAAUGGUUAGUGGGAUAUACCUACCAUGGGUCCGUACUCAACAAUUUCACAAACUCACCGUAUCUUCAACUUUAUAAAACCACUGGACUCUAAAAUAUUUUUCUCCAUCAGCUGUCUUGAAAAAUUCUAUGAUCCUUCCCACAUGCUUUUGUCCUUCAUCACCCUGUAAAAAUUACCUUAACAUUUAUUUCAAAUGCUCGUCGGAAUGCAACUAAAACUACAUAAUACUAUGCAUGAGCUCUCCAGGAUAGGUCCAAACAAACUAUAAGUCUGCAACUAACACUACUCUGAAGAGUUAAGGUCGUAUUUGAUGUUUUCCAUACAUCAUACAUCCAACAAAUUUUCCAAAAUAAGACUAUGUAUCAAUAUUCAACACACCUAUAACUACAGAUUAAGAAGGCAUCUACGCAAGUAGAGCAUGUGGAAGCAAUCUGUAAUCGCUUAAAAAAAACCCAUGAUCAGUAGGGCAAAAAGAGAAAGUACCUCUAUGUAAGCACAAUCUCCAAGAUCGAAGAUGCAAUCGCCAAUUUUAGCUUGAGAAAAGUGACAUUCAACGUCCAAAAUUAUCUCAUCUUCUUCAUCUUCACUACAACCAUGUAUAAAUGAGAAAAUAAAAGGCAUAACCACAAUAGAUGAAAAAGGAUCAGCUUCUCGCUACUCGGGAGCACAAUGCCUAAGUUCUUAACUAGUGAGGGGGUCCAAUAACAUGUUCUGUGUAAAACUGUGAGCAAACAUGUUUUAUUUUCCUUAAAAGGAAUCAAAAUAUCUUUUAUAAGACACAUACUUCCUUUGUUACCAUUUUCUCUUGUGAACUGUCAACAUGUCAUUGCUCCUUUUUCAUCACUACUUACCCAGUACAAAAACAAGAACAACUAAUCACAUCCCAUAUGGUGUGGGAUAAUACAUAGCAAUGAAGUCAAAACCCCCUUACAGGGAGAGCAACGUACAUAAAAUGGGGUUCACCGAGACCAUGGCGUCCCGCCAAUAGUCAUUGACAUGUGGAGAGAAGACAAUGAGUUAUUGGACCAGGACACUACGUGGCGGUGAACCCAUUCCAUGUAAGUCAUUCUCCCUCCUGCACUAGGAAGUGACAUACCAUGCCUAUCCCUCUUUCCAACAAAAAAUAUUCCCUGCCUGCACAUUCUUUUCCAUCCAGGUCAUGAGUGAAUCUAUUUUCCAAUUCAAAAGAAGAGGCAUCUUUCACUCCACAUUCAUUUCCAUCCAGGCCGUGGGUGAAUCUAGUGCUUUGAGAACAUAUGUGAUAAGAUUAAGAAUAAAAAUUCUGUGCUCACAAGAGAAGUAGAUGUGUUGAUCCAAGAGAUGCAACAUGUAGUUAGCAAGACAAAAGAGAACAGUGGGAGUAAGUCUAUGACAAAAGACAUUUUCUACUUUUAAAAAAAACAAUGUUUGGUAACAAGGUUAUAUGAACAUAUGCCACUACAUGUUUCUACCACCUCACCAGUCAAGACAAUGUGCUCUGUCCAUGAAGCUCUGAAGAAAACUAUAACCAAACCCUCAAAGAGAUAAUUUAUGAACUAUUUAUUACUCACUUUAGCUUCAAGCUUUGUCUUUUAGAUCUUUGACUCUGCAAAACUCCAACACAGGCACAACCAGAACUAAAUUACACAGGCACAACCAGAACUAAAUCAUAUUAAACACAAUACUGUUGUGGUGUUUAACUAAAAACUCAAGAAACCCUACAACAGAGUUUAAUCUAUUCAAAUCACCAGAUGGCUUCACAAAUACAAGUUAAAUAGUCAAGAGCAAAAAAUUAUUCUACCAACAUAAAAUGAAAUAAAAUUGCAUGGAUAGACAUUAAUACACGUGCACUCAUUUAUAUACAUAUAAAGUGCACUUAUUUAUAUACAUGUUUUUCAUGGAUAUCAUGUAUUUAUGUACAUGCUUAUAAAAUCUGAAUAUAAGUGCAGAUGAGGCCUUCACUACAAGAAGUUGAGUGGCUAAAUAUGCAUCUUUUACUGCUUUAGUUUCCCACCGACAAUAAGAGAAAAACUUAUGGAGAACUUUUUAUGCUGUGUCAACUUUAAUCAUUUUAAAUUAGAGUUUUUUUUUUAGAAGGUGUUAGAAUAUGAAAACAAAUAGUUUACACCAUGUCAGGCUUUGAUCCAGCUGAGGCUAUUUGGGAAGCAACUGUUCGGAUUAUGGUGAAGAUUAGAGGGGGAAUAAUGUGAUCUGCUACAGAAAGAACUGAUGACUUCCUCCUAGCUAGUGCAUCGUGGGUAAGAUAAAAGGGGAAAGUGUAGAUCUCUUGUUGAGAGAGCAAAAAAUGGCACACCAGUCCAUCGUGAAUUUUUAUUCAAGUUUGUGGAGUUCUUGAACUUGAAUUAUAUCUAUUUUUUAUUAUUAAGCAUUAAUGAUGAUAUUCUUGUUGAAUUAUAUUUGUUUUAGUUCAUUUUUAAGCAUGAAUGACAUUUUUAUGGUAUGCCUCAUAAGUCUUAAAAGGCUUAUGCCACACAUAGAGGUUAAUUAUCAUGGUAUGCCUCAUAAAUCUUAAAAGGCUUACGCCACACAUAGCGGUACUUCCAACACUUCCCCUUAUGCCUCAACAAUUUCAAGCUUUGAUAUGUAUAAUGUGCUCUGAUUGCAUAGUGAAGUUCAAGUAAGAGUCUGAACUUAGAGAAGAAAAACGACAUGCAAAUGAAUAAAUCGUUAAGUUGAUUUAUUACCUUCAUUCGAUACCGCCAACCCCAUCUUUCUUGAGCUUCAACAUCAGGAAUUGGAUCUCCAAUGAAAGAAGCACUUUUGAUGUUCUCUUGUUUGUUUUGCUUGUUCUUUGAUGAAUCUAAGGUUUUCCUUUUCUUUGGUGUUUGUUUCACAUAGGUCUCGGGCAAUUCAAUCAAAGCACAUUCUGAUUCUCUUCUUUCAGCCUCAAACAUCGAUCUGGUUCUUCUUUGGGAUUGCCCCAAGUGUGUCUCGUCAAAAAUUUUUGAAUCAGAUUUUCCUAAUGAGAUCAAUAUCUUCUUGGAAGAAAACCCAUCUUCCGAAUCAGACAAUCCAAUGAAACUAGAAUUUAGAUUGGAAGUUUCCUUAGCCACGUCCAAACAAGGGGAAAACUUAGGAGAUCUUCUUAUGUGCUUUUCAUCCAACUUUUCACCAUCAAAAUUGUCUUCAGGAGCUGACAUUAACCUUGAAGACCUCCUCAAGGGUGUAGGUCUCUUAUCACUCUCUCCGUGCCAUGAAAGAGAUGGAUGCUUGACUUCUGUGUCUCUUGAUGAUGUUUCGACAUUAGAAGUAUUUAAUGACAGGGCCUUGGGGCAGCCUUCUUCAGGGGAUUCGAAUUUUCUUAGAGAUCUCUCUUGCGAAGAAACUUUCAGACAGCAGCUUUCCACUGCAGACUGAUUCAUCAACCUUAGAGAUCUCCUCAUAGACUUCUCUGCUAAGCUUUCUACACUUGAUACUGUAUAUUUCUGUUCAUCAUCACUGCAACAAGCAAACAUGCAGAAGUCAAGAAAAUUGACGUAUGAAUCAUAUGAUGAAUGUGAAUGCCCCACAGCUAAAAUGUUUGAAAAUUUAGGACUCACUUUGAUCCGAUGGUUCCACCCUUGUACCUUUUAUGCUGCAUAAGCCAAUAAUCCAUUCUUGAAAUUAGAAUGUGUAAACUGAUGUAAAUGGUUAACGAGACAUAAGACAACUGACAUAGCAAAUACAAUUAUGACAUAUUGGGAACCAUCACCAAAAAAUGAAACAAACAAACAAGAGCUUCAUGGGAAAUGUUAAACUAUCAUGAGGAAGACGAAGGUGUCAAGAUUUCAGAGAGAUGGCAAUCAGACCACAACAUUUUCAUAGGGACAGGGAGGCCUCAAAAUUGCCUACCAUGAAAUAUUAUUAGCUUGCUCAUAAAAUUAUUCUAUUUUUCUUUCUGAACUAAAAUUUUGAACAAUAAGUGUUUGGGCGUGUUCAAAAAGGUUUGCAAUGUAUUAAAUCAUAUGUCAAGAUUGUGUAAGAUGUGGAAAGGGAACAUCACGAAAAUGUUACAACUCUUGCCAAAUUUAUGGUUGCUAUACAUAGGAAGGAGACCUAACUUCAAACAAGGUUUAUGCUUAAUGAAUUUGACCGUUUUGAUUCUGGAGUAUAAUGCCGCAAUGUUGUAUUUGUGUUAGCAUUAACAGGCCAAGUACAGUUAAUCGUAUUUUUCCAGGCGGUUCAAGGAUCACACAGUAUUUAAAUGUGUAUGAGAAUCAUUUGACUUCUUAACUUUCCCGGCGUUUACUAACACAUGAAAUUGGAAAGGCGUGAGCUUCCCCUUGAAAUUCAUAAUCAAAUACCUAAAAAUCAGGAAUCAUAUCAACUAAGGGGGACUAGUUUAUCUGAUUCCCUUUCCCAAAUUCUCUGUUUCUUUAUGUGGCCUUUCUCCAAUGAGGCCCCUCAUGUUUCAUAAAAACGGAACUCAUGGCUGUCAAUCACUUUUAACAUUUUUUUUUUUUUGAACAAACAAUGUUAUCUACACUAAAAGAGAGGGGGUGGGCUUAGCCUCACAAUGAGCUAGCAAUAAUGUGGUUAAAAUUCACCUUUGGCCAAAAUUAAACCUAAAACCUCUUAGUUACAAGUGAACAGCAAUAUCACUAGACCGUAGUAAGUGGCUUAACAAAAAUUACUUUUUUUUACUAAUAGUGACAUUUAUUUUUAAAAAAAAAAACCCCCAUCUUUGUAUUUUUAUUUUUACUAUUAUUGGGGACAAGGAUGAGAGUUCGAAACUAUUAAAAUAAGUUAGGGAGGGUUUCGAAUUAAAGACAUAUGGGUAGAAACUCAACACUCUAUCCUCUAGGAUAUUUGACCACAUGAACACAAAAAACCUAUCUAUUUACCUCAUAAGUCAAAUAAAAAUUACUGACUGAAAUGCAAAACAAAGACUAGAUACAUAAAACAUCUGAACCAAAAAAAUAUUCUUUUAUUUGUAAUAUUUUUUAAUUUUUGUUCUGUAUUAAAUCAAAGUAUUAUUUUAGAUGUAAAUUAAUAAUUCUAAUAGGGAUUUUCUAACAAAUAAAGAUAAAAACUGUGGAAUACGUUCGUGAAGAAAUUACUUCUAAUUACUUUUAAAAGCUUAAAAGGGUACAAAUGUCACUUCAACUAAAGUGGGUCCGAAUGGUUGAAAGUCUCUGGCGCCAAUAAGCGUUCGGGUUUAAUAAAUGAAAGAUGAAACAAGCAUCUAAUCCCUUUUGGACAAAAGUCAAACUCACCAUCCGCACGAUUCUUAAGAUUCAAUGAUCCGACGGAUGAGAAGCAUCUGAUUAAUACACAAUUUCUCAAGAAAAAAGAAAAAGAAACAUAAAAGUAUUUAAUUUCAACGAGAAAAACUAUAAAAAUAUGCAAAUAAUAUGAAAUUUAAGGAUUAAAAAAAUUAAAAAAUACUUAAAAGAAUUAUUAAUUAAGAAUUAAAAGAAAAUUAAAGAUAGUAAACGGUGAGUAAUGACGCAAGCACCUGAACUGAUGGAGUCUUAAUCUUGCUGCUCUCAGCUUCUUCCAGGACGGAUGACGUAAAUCUGGGAGACCUUCUCACACUCGCACGCUUGGCGUCGUCGAUCUUCCUGGAAGCUGCAUUUGCCGAAGUAUCCUUGACGACCUCCUCCUUCUGCGCCGGCGGCAACGGCGACAGUCUCGGCGACCUUCUCACGCACUCGGGCCGCCGCUGCUGAAUCUUGCGCCGUAGUCGUGGGUCGUCGUGGUCGUGCGAGUUCAGUGGCACUGCUUCCUCCUCACAAGCCACAUUUUCCACGAGCACCGACAAUGCCAUCGGUUCCGAUUCGGAUUUCGAUUCCGAUUUGGAAUCGGAGUUGGGUUUUGGUGGCGCCCACAUUUUAUUUCUUUUUUUUGGGGGGGGGGGGGUGGGAUGGGGGAUUUUGGGCAAAUGGUGAAAUAAAUGGAAAUUAUUGAAACGCAAAGAAGGAAACGGUGGGAAGCAGUUUCGUUCUUCCGAUGACUCCAAAGAAGAGAGGCUGGGCAAAAAUAUAUGUCCUCUUUCUCGCAUGACACAUCUCACGAGGCAAUGGAGGCGCACGAAUAAAUAGUGGUAUACCCACUCAUAUUUUACAAAAUAAAUUAGAGUAACCUCAACUAUUGAUAUUAAGACACUUUCAUAUCUUAUCUUUUAAAAUUGACAAUGUCAUAUCUCAUCUUACGAAUUUGUAUCAAUGUUAGACAUCCGUCCGUUUUCUGUUAAUUUCUCUGUUAAAUGCUGACGUUGUCCGACACGUGUCCACUCACUAAUCAAAUUGGAUUAAAAAAUAAUUAAAUAUAUUUUUAAUAAUUAAAUAUUCAAAAAUUAAAAAAUAUAUAUAUAUAUAUUAAAUCUCUCUCUCCCCUUUCUCGCCUCUCUCUUCUCUGCAACCCAAAACCCCUUCCCACCCGUCCUUCACCACCCUCUCUCUCUCCUCUCUCUCCCCCCCCCUUUCUCGGCUCUCUCUCUUCUCUGCAUCCCAGAAGACCCAGACCUCGGAGGAACAAAACCCACCUUCCCAUUGCAGCAAUUGUUGCCGCAAUUCGAAAACCCCAAAACGAAGAACCCAAUAUUUCUCGACUACUCCGCCACCCUCAAUCUGGAGAUCGCAAUGACGUCAUUCCACGGCAUCAUCUUCCUCGACUACUUCGCCUCCCUCACUCUACCACCCUCGAUCUGCACCUGGACACCCAAAACGAUGGCGUCGACCUGAAGUCGGACUGGGAACCGGUCUGAUUUGUGACGAAGUCCGAGUCUGUGGGGUAGUGGGGGGGGACGCGGGUCAAUAGGCAAGAGUUUGGGGGGACGGGUCAAUAGGCAAGAGUUUGGCGGAUGAAAAAACCCAGGUGGGUUUAGGCGGUUCUAGGCACGAAGAGUGAGAGAAGUGGGGAGGAAGGAACUACGAUGGAGAGGAGAAGGAGAGGCAAAAGAGAGGGUGGUGGAGGACGGGUGAGAAGGGGUCGGGUGGGAAGGGGUUUUGGGUCUUUUGAGAUGCAAAGAAGAGAGAGAGGCAAGAAAGGGGGGGGGAGAAAGAGGAGAUAGAAAGAGAAAGAGAGAGAGAGAGAGAUUUAAUAUAUAUAUAUAUAUAUAUAUAUUUUUAUUAUUAUUUAAUUAUUUUUUUAAUCCAGUUGAAUUAGUGAGUGGGACACGUGUCGGCCCACGUCAGCAUUUAAUAGAGAAAUUAACAGAAAAACUGACGGAUGUCUGACAUUGGCACAAAUUCGUAAGAUGAGGUAUGACAUUGUCAAUUUUAAAAGAUGAGGUAUGAAAAUGUCGUGACACCAAUAGUUGAGAUAGUUUUUUGUACUUUACCCAACAAAUUAUUUGUAUUUUGAGGAUUUUGCACGAACUCGAUUGAAAUCUAUCACUUAAGUUAUUUUUUAUUUAUUUUUUCAUAAAAACAUGCAUGUGACUCACGUGGAGAGUUAUUUUUGUCAAUUCACUGCCUAGGGCUCUUUAGAAUCAAUUUAUGUGAAAGCAAAAGGAAUUUUUAAUAGCGUUAGAGUAAGGUCAUGAAGAGCAAGGGAAAAGUUGAUUUUUAAUUAGAUUUUGGCAAGGGUUGUUGAAGAAUUGAAGUGAAAAUUAUGCUAAAAUCUAGUCCUUCAUUUACAAUAAAUUUCAAUUUUUUUUUUUUUGUAAGUCAGCAAGUGGGUAUGUGAUUAAGGUAUUAUUCAAAUAUUAAGUUUUCAUACUCUGAUGUAGGGAAUUGCCGGAUUGGGGCUGUACAAACCCCAAAUUUGGAGCUAUAUUGACUGAGGCAGUAUUACUUUGCAGUCAAUUUGAUUCUAGUCAGCCCCAUUAAGUGAAUUGAUGAAAAUAUCCCUACAUGUGACAUGUUUUAAUGGCAAAAUGGAUGAAAAGUAACGUAAGUGAUAGAUUCUAACUUAAGACGGUCUAGUUGGAAAAAUUAAAAAUUUAGUGGCAAUAUUGCAUAUGCUUACAAGGUCAGGUGGUACUUGUGCAAAAAAUCUUUGUAUUUUUAAUAUUUAAUAUUAAUUAGACCCGUAAACGGUAUGGCUGCUACCAUACCUGACCCGUUUAACUAUCGUAGACAAUGUGCCAAUUUCACCACACCCCUUAGAUCUUCAGAUGGGUAGAUGAACAUAGAAAGAGAGAGACCAAUAAUUACCUCAAUCAUCCUUGGUCAUGGCUACAAGCAACCCCUCAUCGCCACAGCCGCCACCGCCAUCGGUUCCAUCUUCUGCCUUCCAGCCAGUUUUUUCAGAAACAUAUGGUUCUUCCUACAAUACAUUGCCGCCAUAGUUUGUGCCAUCGUCAUUGCCACUGCCUGCCACGCCCACCACCUCGGCCUAAUGAUCUGCGGCUUCACUGGCAAUCCAAAAAUCCAACAUUCCGAGCCUGAAGAGGAGUCUCUCUUGGCUCUCGCUCUACUACGCUGCCGCGGCCAACUCAUUAUGCUCCGCCGUCUUCUCAUCCUUUAAAGCUGCCGGCCAUGUGAGGCACGAGAACAAGCGAGGAGGCUUGCCUGUUAGUGGCCUUGAUACUGCCUGUGAGACACAAGAACCGGCAGCUGUACACUUAAUUGGCGGCACCAGACGCAGUUACGAGAAAAAUAAUGAACUACAUCGGUAUAUAUUGUUUUCUACACCAUUUUCAAAUGCCGCUAUUUGGGAAAAGCGUCGAGAACAAGGUGCUGCACAUGGUCAUAAACACAAAUGCUGCAAUUUUCUAGUACCAAGUAUUGCAAGAGAUCACAAAUGAAAGGAAAAUUAUUCUCCAAAUGCUUCAAGACGGAUAAUCUAUAUCAAUACUUGAAGCUUGAGUCGCAUCGAAAAAGUUGUUAUUUCUCUCUGAUACAUUCCAGUAUUGCAAAAACGCUCGUAAAAAACUUCUCACCAAGCAGUUGUCCACGGAAUACAAGUUUAAAAAGACAACUAUAGCUGAUUGUUCUCAUCAGCUAAUCAGGUAUAGCCUCGAAUUGAACUUGUCAAUGGUUAAAACCUUCUAGCUGCUAAAUCACUGCUUGUUCAAAGGAAUCAGAAACGGAAACUAAAGAAAGAAACCGGUAGCACCUACCAGAGGACUCAAACUUUUAACCGCAAAAAUUGAGCUUCUUCAUCACUGUAGCAUAAGCAGGAUGGACAAGGGCAGGUACUCUUAGUCUACGCUUAGAUAUCUUCGACUGCAUAGGAUACAAAAUUUCAUUAAUUUCAGGAACAAAUUGGUACGUCUAGAGCUCUGGUCUACUAAAUACCAUUCGUAAAUCAUGAAUGUACCUCGGACCAAAAAUAAAAUAAAAAAAUUGUGAAUGCACCAUUAUAAAAAAUGUCGUACUCAGUGCACAAGGCUCCCGCUUUACGCAGGGUCUAGGAGAGGUGAAUGUCGGCUAGCCUUACCCCCAUUUAUGGAGAGGCUGCUCCCAAGUCUCGAACCCGAGACAUACCGCUCAUGGACGAAGGCACUUGCCAUCGCACUAAGUGCGACCUCUAUAAUGAGAGAAGAAAGGCAUUUGCAAUAAAAGGAACGAAAGUCUGAUCGAGCAUGUCAAGACACCAAUAAGAGAUUUAGCUGCACUAAUAGGGCAAUGGACAAGAAUACAUACUCGUUCAUGUUGCUUCCCAGACAGAGGAGCUAAUCAACAUAUUGAUGACCAAAAUAAACAUAAUCCACAAAUGAGGUAGGGGAAAAAGAAAAGAACUGUGACCCUAAUGACGACAAUGCCAAUUCAUCCGGAAUUGUUUCACCAGAAACAAACAUAUACCAAGCAGCAUGCAUCAUGAAAUUAAAGAAAUAACUAGUCCAAAUUAUAAUCAACAAUCGACGCACCAAUAUAACUCCUUUUUGUAUAAUGUCUCAAAUUAAUGGGGAUCAAUCAUGUGCUUACAAGACUUUAUUUUACUCGAAUCUUUAAAAAUCUUGUACCCUUUAGUGCUCCCAAAAUCCGUUAUUUAGGAACAUUGCAGGCCACGAGAUACCAGCUAAUGUAACAACUUUUCAUCAAUUUCAUUUAGAAAUCACAACUCAGGAUAAGAGUGUCCUUUUGCUAACAAAGCUGUGCAAAUAGCGUUGCUGUACAUUCUUAAAUAGAGAGGCGCUUUCACAUCUUCUUAACUGGAAACGGCUGGGGAGAGGAAAGAUUUCAUUUUUAAGGGCUUGUAUAGGCCAUAUGCGGGAUACUUAUAGAUAGACAUAAACCAAGGGUGCUGGUCAGCAAAUGAAAACUGGUUGUAAGGGAAUUUUCAGUAGGUAAUUGAACUUCAAACUUGCUGAGUACCACUCUAAGUAACAAAAAUAGUGAAAAAUAAAUAAAAAUCGCUUGUUCCGCAUGUGACAUCAUGACUUGUAGGUUUCAAUGGAGCAAUAUUGUAACUAGAGCAGUCGUUCAAACAACUCUCUUUUUAUUAUAUGUAGAAAACUUUACAGGAACCUGAAAUGUGAAUAAGCAAUAUGACAACACUUAUCUAAUGCUUUGGGAGACACCUAACACAAAAAAAAACACACGUGCUAACAUAUAGUGAAUGUAUCUAUAUGAAUAUAUGAAAUGAGAAACCAAGAUGAUUGACCACCUAUAUUGCA
rnacentral:lncRNA from 1 species